rnacentral:lncRNA from 1 species
UUUUUUUUUGUUCUUAAUAAUGUUCAAUUAGUGACUUGUGUUGGUCAAAGAGGUGGUUUUGUGGAAGAUUUCAUGACCUUUGGUAGAGAUUGAUGAAUUUCUGUUUUUAUUCAUGAUUUUUCUGAUUUUAUAUGAUUAAUAUUGGUUGGCCAUAGAUGAUGGCUUAGAAUAGUCUAGAAUGAAGCUUUGGUGUGUUAAUUGUAGCUUUUUGCGGAAAAUUUUCGUUUUGUACGGAAAAUUUCAGAUUUAGCGUUUUGAAUUGGGGCUUUUCUAGGGUUAUUGUGGGACUCUUGAAUUGGAUUUGUUUAAAGGGUAUUGUAACCCUAAUAAGGUGUAUUGAAUGACCUAUGACUUGCAAUUGUAAUUGUGGUUGUGUUGGGGUAAUAUAAGUGAGUGAUUGUAGGAUGGAAAUUUGAAAUUAUAAGGGGAAAUGCUAUCCCAAAUUUUAGGUUCAUACGAUUUCUUGGAAUUGGGUUGCUAGAGUGUUAAUUAGUGACCUUAGGGUUGUCUAAACCUUUAGCACCAAGCGUACCUUAUAUUACUUUCAAGUUAUUACGGCUUUACAUUAGUGAUGUGUGGUUUGGAUUUAUGACUCAUAAUCGAGUGUCAUUGUGUUUUAUUGAAUGUUUUACGGCGUGCCGGUGACGCAAGGCGUUCGUUGGACGGAAAUUUGUGAAAACUCUCUUUGUUUGAUUGGUGAGUGUAUUACUCACAUGAUUGUUACUUCAUGGCUUUGUUAUACUUGAAAUCUAUGACUUGAAUGCUUGCGUAUAUUGUUGAGAUUGAUUGAGACGAGGGAGUACUUUAUCAUGUGACUGUUUACUAUAUCAAUUGAAUGUCACUUGAAUAUACUUGAAUUGGUGUCGUUUGGACCUAUAUCCAAUGACCUUUACUGUUAACACUGAGUUCAACCCCAUGGGUGGUCAAUUGAAUCGAGCCAGCAAGGGUUUGGUCGAGAAAAUUGACAAGCCAUGGGGACUAUUUAUGUUGAAUCCUUGAGUAUGAGACUCUUGAUUCUGGUAUACUCGAGUAUUACCAUUUUUGAACUGAUUGGAGUUCGGGCCCGGUAGGGGUAUGUGAGGUGGACGAAAAUUGGAGAAAAGUGAAGUCUGCUGUAUUGGCUAUUCUUUAUACUUUGACGGAGAGUCAAUGAGAUAAGAUCAAGUAUGGCAAGCAAGGAAAAGGGCUCUUGAGAGCCAUCUGUAUCUUUUUUAAAAAUUUUCAUCAAAAUGUGGUGUUAGUUAACUCAUUUAUUGAAUGAAUUUGGAUUGAGUGGCUUUGUGCUUACAUGAACUUCGUUACUUGGGUGAUGGUACCUUAUUGGGCGAAAGCUCACUCUAUUGCCUUUGUUUUCCUUACAGGGAUAUGAAUAACUUUUGGAAGACUGUGAUUUUGGGAGCCGAGUGAGCUAGUUUAUUAUUCUUUUGUAUAGCUCCUCGAUAAUUGAAAAAUUUUAAGUGCAUUUUGAUCCAACAUCUUUUUGGAGUUGUAAAUUUGCAACUUUACGUGUAUAAACGUGUUUGGCCAUGUUCAUGUGUUAUGUUGGUUUGUAAAUGCUAAAUUCAAGGUUUAUAUGAUUUGUUGGUGAAUGUUUGGAUUUCAGACAGGUUCGAUUUUUGAACGGCAAAAGAAAAAUUUUGGCAGGAAUUACUGCUGGAGAUCCGGCUUCAAAUCCAGCCAGUUGUUGGCCGGAUUGCCUGCUGGAUUGAUAGGGAAAAUUUGGAAUCCGGGCAGUUGGUCUCUGCUUCCAAUCCAGUCAAGAAUCUGGCCGGAUUGUGACUUGGCCGGCACUAUUUAUGUGCGGCUCCAAUUUUCAUUUUUCCGUUUCGCGAUUUUUGAAUCAUUUAAGCGCACUUUUAUUUUUUGGAACGUUUUAGAUUGUAUUUAACUGCCUCGUUAGUUCUGGUGAGAGUUGGGCAGGCAGUCCGUUAACCCUUUUGGUACGCCUUAGGGGCAGUGGGGCUGUCACUGGUGGUAUCAGAGCCUAGAUUUGAAUUAGCCUGGGCAUGUUAGAAUUUUUUGACUUGAGAAUUAUAUUUAAUUAUUUCCCUUAAGAGUACUUAAGUUUAUCUACACUUUUGUGUAGGAUGGACGGAUAUAGUGGUCCUAGUGAUUGCCCAGUUAGUGAGCAGCCCCGUGGAGUAUUCCCGAUGAUUAAGUAUUAGAUUCGGCCAAGAGGGGCCACUGUACGUUGGAGUCCGACUAACCACCAUCGGCUUUGCGAAUGCCGCCAUACUUAUGCCUAUCCUAAUACAGUCGUUUUGACCGUGGUAGAGGAAAGGAAGAAGUUAGCGAAGGACAAUGCUAGGCUUGAAGCCGAAGUGAACCAAUUAAAGGAAGCUAAUAAGAGGCAAGUCGAGUGAAUUAAGGAGUUUGAGUAUGAUGUGGUUGAAGGCUAAGAUAGGAUAGAUGAUCUCUGUGCACAACUUGGAGAAGCGCAGGAGCGCAUGGUUAAGAGAGCCAGGAAAGGGAGGGUUAGAGUUGAAUCGAUUUUGAACAUUUGUGAUGACUUGCUUGGGGAGGAGAACGAUGAGGCUUCUUGCAUAGGAGGCGAGGUUAGAGGUGAACCCGCCCAGUCAGAUGCAUCAACUAGUCCUACGGCGGAUUAAGCCUUUACUCCUAGUGUGACGCCCCGGAAAAAAAUGAGUUUGAGAACCCGAAAAUUUUCUAAUUUUCUAGGGUUUAUUUAUUUAAUCGCCCGCCUUUUCUAUAUUUUCUUGAUUAGAAAAAUUCCCCAGAUAAAGUUUAUGAGCAAAGAUAGUUUUAAAAUGAUUUUUCUAGUAUCGGUUAGUUUUUGAGAAAUUAAGAGCGUAUUUUGAACGUGGGACCCGCAUGUGCGGUAAAUGUAAUAUAUUUUUGAUAACUUGUUGGAGUUUUGUGCUAAGUGAUAUUUUUCUACAAGGUGUUAAGAGAUAUUUAUGGAUUGGUGUGAGAGGGAACAAAGAGAUAGAGAUUCAUUAUUUAAGUGACAAGUGUCGCUUGGCCAUUGGGUGGAAUUUUUGACUAUUAUGCCAUGUCUUACCAUUUGACUUAAUAAACUAAAACUUUACCAAAAAUUUGCUCCAUUUCCAAGCUUCAUGGCCGAACCUCUCUCAAGAAAGGAAGAAAGGAAAGCUUUCAUCUUACUUCUUCAUUUCUUGCUUCAAUCAAACAAUUUAACCGAUUAAACUUGGAUUUGCUCCAUAAAAACCUUUCUCUUGGUAGUAUUAAGGUGUGUAGUAAAGUGGUUUGAGAAGCAAAGGUGCUAAGUUGGGUCUUUUCUUGGGUUUGUAAGGUAAGUGACUAAGGAACCUUUCCUUUGAUCUUGAUAAUGUUCAAUUAGUGAUUGGUGGUGGUUGAAUAAGUGAUUUUAUGGUUGAUUUCCUGAUUUUGGUUGAAAAUGAUGAAGUUUUAUUAUUUUUGGGGAUUUUUCUGUUUUCAUAUGGAUAUGAUUGUGUGGCUAUAUAUGAUGAUUGGAAAUGAUGUUUAAGGACUCUAUGAGGUGGAAAAAGUGAUUAAUUGCAAUCAAUUUCUGUUUUGGAAGAAAUUUCAGAAAAUCAGGGUUUUGUGAUGAACAUUCUGUCCGAAUUUUUAGGUCCUAGAUAGAGGCCGAAUUGGCCUUUGCUUAAAACAUGAAAGUUGUAGGGAAUGACAUUUUAAAGGUGCCUACAAAAUUUUAGGUCAAUUGGAGCAGUGUGGAAUGAGAAAAGUCGAAAUUACUAUUGCUGUUCUGGUUUUACCCGAAAUUGAGAAGUGCGUCUGUAAUUGGUUGUUUUGGCUGGAAUUGCUUCCGAAUUAGUUGUUGAGGCCUUCUGAUGAAAUUUAUCCCUGUUUCUUAGCUUUCAUCUGGUUUUGGAAUUGCUGGAUUUGGAUUUGAAGAGCCUGAGUUAUGAUGUUUCCGCUAGAAUGCGUUUUGUGAAUCUGUUUUUGUGAUUCUGGUGUGGUAUCUUGCAUUUUUGACCUGGUUACACUCGAAACUGGGUUGAGUAACCUUCUGUAAUAUUGUAAACCUAUCUCUUAGCUUUGAAACGGUGUAUCUUGCACCUUCAUCCGACAAUCGUAGUGCCUUUGGUACCAUUACCGCAAAAUGACGUCAAAACCUGUUUUUUUGGUUUUGAGCUUAACUUUCAUUUCCGGACUUCUUCCUAGCUUGACUUGUCUUUGUACUACUUGGAGCUUGCUCAAUGACUAUUGGAUGAACCUGUUGUUGUGUGUGUACCUUUGGGACUGGCUGAGGAAAUAAUGAAGCCAUGAUGGCUGGAAAAGUAAGCAAAUUUAGGGGAAGUGCUGUCCGAACUUUUAAAGGGUUUGAUUGCUUUGAGUUUGUGAUCUAAGACUUGGAUUUGAGCAAGGCAAUGUUAUAUGAUGGAUGAUUUCUGAGCCAUGGAGGUGAGUGACCCUAAACUGUUUCCAAAGUUACUUUUGAAAUGUUCCUUGCAUUGUUUCUUUGGUUGCAUAUCAUGUGUGCGCGCAUACGAGUUCUUGACAUGGUUUGGCUUUAAUGAGUUCUUGAGGAGUCUUGUGCUGGACACCAACGUCUCCACCACUUUCGUGAGUUUGUGAUAUGAUCUGGAGCACCGAUGCUGCUCCCCUUUAAUGUUUAUGGUUUCGUGAUCUGUUUGAGCGUUGGGUGUUUAGUUUCAAUGAUUUCACUGGCUCACGAGAGCAAAAAUACGUGCAUUUGAUACUUGAAUCAUGACAUCAUGACAUCAUCGAAAUGAAUUAUUGUGAAAGAUAUUUGAUUACUGGUUUUAUUUGGUUACUCGCUGAGCUUCUAGCUCACCCCAAAAAUAUUUUAUUCCCCUCCACAGGGCUCAAGGCGAAAGCAGGACUUGUUGUGCUUAUUCAUGUGAAUGGAUGGAUUUCCUUUUGUGUAAUAGUUAUUAUUAGGGAUUGUAAUGAAUGUUUGGAAUCGAUCGGAUGUAUACAUACGUUCCACGCUUGGAAUUAGUUUCCGCUUCGUUUUGUUUAUAUGUAAAUAUUGGAGAUUUACAUUGUAAUAUUUGAGGUUUAUUCUUGUAAUAUAUUUGAGGAUUGUAGUGAACGACUGAGUCCCGGCGAGAGUUGGGCAGGCGGCCCGCCGAACCCUCUGGUUCGCCUCAGGGGGAGGUGGGGCCGUCACAGUUGGUAUCAGAGCUUAGGUUUCAGAUCUCUGUAGUGUAUCCUAGACUUGAAGUUUAGGAUGCCGGACUGUGGGUUUGGUUUGCAAUAGUAGUGAUUCUUGCGGGAUGUCUUGACUUGAUUGGUACAAGAGGGAAUGUCGAGGACGACAUUCUUUUAAGGAGGGGAGAUUGUGACGCCCCGGAAAAAAAUGAGUUUGAGAACCCGAAAAUUUUCUAAUUUUCUAGGGUUUAUUUAUUUAAUCGCCCGCCUUUUCUACAUUUUUUUGAUUAGAAAAAUUCCCCAGAUAAAGUUUAUGAGCAAAGAUAGUUUUAAAAUGAUUUUUCUAGUAUCGGUUAGUUUUUGAGAAAUUAAGAGCGUAUUUUGAACGUGGGACCCGCAUGUGCGGUAAAUGUAAUAUAUUUUUGAUAACUUGUUGGAGUUUUUUGCUAAGUGAUAUUUUUCUACAAGGUGUUAAGAGAUAUUUAUGGAUUGGUGUGAGAGGGAACAAAGAGAUAGAGAUUCAUUAUUUAAGUGACAAGUGUCGCUUGGCCAUUGGGUGGAAUUUUUGACUUUUAUGCCAUGUCUUACCAUUUGACUUAAUAAACUAAAACUUUACCAAAAAUUUGCUCCAUUUCCAAGCUUCAUGGCCGAACCUCUCUCAAGAAAGGAAGAAAGGAAAGCUUUCAUCUUACUUCUUCAUUUCUUGCUUCAAUCAAACAAUUUAACCGAUUAAACUUGGAUUUGCUCCAUAAAAACCUUUCUCUUGGUAGUAUUAAGGUGUGUAGUGAAGUGGUUUGAGAAGCAAAGGUGCUAAGUUGGGUCUUUUCUUGGGUUUGUAAGGUAAGUGACUAAGGAACCUUUCCUUUGAUCUUGAUAAUGUUCAAUUAGUGAUUGGUGGUGGUUGAAUAAGUGAUUUUAUGGUUGAUUUCCUGAUUUUGGUUGAAAAUGAUGAAGUUUUAUUAUUUUUGGGGAUUUUUCUGUUUUCAUAUGGAUAUGAUUGUGUGGCUAUAUAUGAUGAUUGGAAAUGAUGUUUAAGGACUCUAUGAGGUGGAAAAAGUGAUUAAUUGCAAUCAAUUUCUGUUUUGGAAGAAAUUUCAGAAAAUCAGGGUUUUGUGAUGAACAUUCUGUCCGAAUUUUUAGGUCCUAGAUAGAGGCCGAAUUGGCCUUUGCUUAAAACAUGAAAGUUGUAGGGAAUGACAUUUUAAAGGUGCCUACAAAAUUUCAGGUCAAUCGGAGCAGUGUGGAAUGAGAAAAGUCGAAAUUACUAUUGCUGUUCUGGUUUUACCCGAAAUUGAGAAGUGCGUCUGUAAUUGGUUGUUUUGGCUGGAAUUGCUUCCGAAUUAGUUGUUGAGGCCUUCUGAUGAAAUUUAGCCCUGUUUCUUAGCUUUCAUCUGGUUUUGGAAUUGCUGGAUUUGGAUUUGGAGAGCCUGAGUUAUGAUGUUUCCGCUAGAAUGCGUUUUGUGAAUCUGUUUUUGUGAUUCUGGUGUGGUAUCUUGCAUUUUUGACCUGGUUACACUCGAAACUGGGUUGAGUGACCUUCUGUAAUAUUGUAAACCUAUCUCUUAGCUUCGAAACGGUGUAUCUUGCACCUUCAUCCGACAAUCGUAGUGCCUUUGGUACCAUUACCGCAAAAUGACGUCAAAACCUGUUUUUUUGGUUUUGAGCUUAACUUUCAUUUCCGGACUUCUUCCUAGCUUGACUUGUCUUUGUACUACUUGGAGCUUGCUCAAUGACUAUUGGAUGAACCUGUUGUUGUGUGUGUACCUUUGGGACUGGCUGAGGAAAUAAUGAAGCCAUGAUGGCUGGAAAAGUAAGCAAAUUUAGGGGAAGUGCUGUCCGAACUUUUAAAGGGUUUGAUUGCUUUGAGUUUGUGAUCUAAGACUUGGAUUUGAGCAAGGCAAUGUUAUAUGAGGGAUGAUUUCUGAGCCAUGGAGGUGAGUGACCCUAAACUGUUUCCAAAGUUACUUUUGAAAUGUUCCUUGCAUUGUUUCUUUGGUUUGCAUAUCAUGUGUGCGCGCAUACGAGUUCUUGACAUGGCUUGGCUUUAAUGAGUUCUUGAGGAGUCUUGUGCUGGACACCAACGUCUCCACCACUUUCGUGAGUUUGUGAUAUGAUCUGGAGCACCGAUGCUGCUCCCCUUUAAUGUUUAUGGUUUCGUGAUCUGUUUGAGCGUUGGGUGUUUAGUUUCAAUGAUUUCACUGGCUCACGAGAGCAAAAAUACGUGCAUUUGAUACUUGAAUCAUGACAUCAUGAUAUCAUCGAAAUGAAUUAUUGUGAAAGAUAUUUGAUUACUGGUUUUAUUUGGUUACUCGCUGAGCUUCUAGCUCACCCCAAAAAUAUUUUAUUCCCCUCCACAGGGCUCAAGGCGAAGGCAGGACUUGUUGUGCUUAUUCAUGUGAAUGGAUGGAUUAUCUCGUGUAUGGUUUGAAUUUGGAUUUCCUUUUGUGUAAUAGUUAUUAUUAGGGAUUGUAAUGAAUGUUUGGAAUCGAUCGGAUGUAUACAUACGUUCCACGCUUGGAAUUAGUUUCCGCUUCGUUUUGUUUAUAUGUAAAUAUUGGAGAUUUACAUUGUAAUAUUUGAGGUUUAUUCUUGUAAUAUAUUUGAGGAUUGUAGUGAACGACUGAGUCCCGGCGAGAGUUGGGCAGGCGGCCCACCGAACCCUCUGGUUCGCCUCAGGGGGAGGUGGGGCCGUCACAGUUGGUAUCAGAGCUUAGGUUUCAGAUCUCUGUAGUGUAUCUUAGGCUUGAAGUUUAGGAUGCCGGACUGUGGGUUUGGUUUGCAAUAGUAGUGAUUCUUGCGGGAUGUCUUGACUUGAUUGGUACAAGAGGGAAUGUCGAGGACGACAUUCUUUUAAGGAGGGGAGAUUGUGACGCCCCGGAAAAAAAUGAGUUUGAGAACCCGAAAAUUUUCUAAUUUUCUAGGGUUUAUUUAUUUAAUCGCCCGCCUUUUCUACAUUUUUUUGAUUAGAAAAAUUCCCCAGAUAAAGUUUAUGAGCAAAGAUAGUUUUAAAAUGAUUUUUCUAGUAUCGGUUAGUUUUUGAGAAAUUAAGAGCGUAUUUUGAACGUGGGACCCGCAUGUGCGGUAAAUGUAAUAUAUUUUUGAUAACUUGUUGGAGUUUUGUGCUAAGUGAUAUUUUUCUACAAGGUGUUAAGAGAUAUUUAUGGAUUGGUGUGAGAGGGAACAAAGAGAUAGAGAUUCAUUAUUUAAGUGACAAGUGUCGCUUGGCCAUUGGGUGGAAUUUUUGACUUUUAUGCCAUGUCUUACCAUUUGACUUAAUAAACUAAAACUUUACCAAAAAUUUGCUCCAUUUCCAAGCUUCAUGGCCGAACCUCUCUCAAGAAAGGAAGAAAGGAAAGCUUUCAUCUUACUUCUUCAUUUCUUGCUUCAAUCAAACAAUUUAACCGAUUAAACUUGGAUUUGCUCCAUAAAAACCUUUCUCUUGGUAGUAUUAAGGUGUGUAGUGAAGUGGUUUGAGAAGCAAAGGUGCUAAGUUGGGUCUUUUCUUGGGUUUGUAAGGUAAGUGACUAAGGAACCUUUCCUUUGAUCUUGAUAAUGUUCAAUUAGUGAUUGGUGGUGGUUGAAUAAGUGAUUUUAUGGUUGAUUUCCUGAUUUUGGUUGAAAAUGAUGAAGUUUUAUUAUUUUUGGGGAUUUUUCUGUUUUCAUAUGGAUAUGAUUGUGUGGCUAUAUAUGAUGAUUGGAAAUGAUGUUUAAGGACUCUAUGAGGUGGAAAAAGUGAUUAAUUGCAAUCAAUUUCUGUUUUGGAAGAAAUUUCAGAAAAUCAGGGUUUUGUGAUGAACAUUCUGUCCGAAUUUUUAGGUCCUAGAUAGAGGCCGAAUUGGCCUUUGCUUAAAACAUGAAAGUUGUAGGGAAUGACAUUUUAAAGGUGCCUACAAAAUUUCAGGUCAAUCGGAGCAGUGUGGAAUGAGAAAAGUCGAAAUUACUAUUGCUGUUCUGGUUUUACCCGAAAUUGAGAAGUGCGUCUGUAAUUGGUUGUUUUGGCUGGAAUUGCUUCCGAAUUAGUUGUUGAGGCCUUCUGAUGAAAUUUAUCCCUGUUUCUUAGCUUUCAUCUGGUUUUGGAAUUGCUGGAUUUGGAUUUGGAGAGCCUGAGUUAUGAUGUUUCCGCUAGAAUGCGUUUUGUGAUUCUGGUGUGGUAUCUUGCAUUUUUGACCUGGUUACACUCGAAACUGGGUUGAGUGACCUUCUGUAAUAUUGUAAAACUAUCUCUUAGCUUCGAAACGGUGUAUCUUGCACCUUCAUCUGACAAUCGUAGUGCCUUUGGUACCACUACCGUAAAAUGACGUCAAAACCUGUUUUUUUGGUUUUGAGCUUAACUUUCAUUUCCGGACUUCUUCCUAGCUUGACUUGUCUUUGUACUACUUGGAGCUUGCUGAAUGACUAUUGGAUGAACCUGUUGUUGUGUGUGUACCUUUGGGACUGGCUGAGGAAAUAAUGAAGCCAUGAUGGCUGGAAAAGUAAGCAAAUUUAGGGGAAGUGCUGUCCGAACUUUUAAAGGGUUUGAUUGCUUUGAGUUUGUGAUCUAAGACUUGGAUUUGAGCAAGGCAAUGUUAUAUGAUGGAUGAUUUCUGAGCCAUGGAGGUGAGUGACCCUAAACUGUUUCCAAAGUUACUUUUGAAAUGUUCCUUGCAUUGUUUCUUUGGUUUGCAUAUCAUGUGUGCGCGCAUACGAGUUCUUGACAUGGUUUGGCUUUAAUGAGUUCUUGAGGAGUCUUGUGCUGGACACCAACGUCUCCACCACUUUCGUGAGUUUGUGAUAUGAUCUGGAGCACCGAUGCUGCUCCCCUUUAAUGUUUAUGGUUUCGUGAUCUGUUUGAGCGUUGGGUGUUUAGUUUCAAUGAUUUCACUGGCUCACGAGAGCAAAAAUACGUGCAUUUGAUACUUGAAUCAUGACAUCAUGACAUCAUCGAAAUGAAUUAUUGUGAAAGAUAUUUGAUUACUGGUUUUAUUUGGUUACUCGCUGAGCUUCUAGCUCACCCCAAAAAUAUUUUAUUCCCCUCCACAGGGCUCAAGGCGAAGGCAGGACUUGUUGUGCUUAUUCAUGUGAAUGGAUGGAUUAUCUCGUGUAUGGUUUGAAUUUGGAUUUCCUUUUGUGUAAUAGUUAUUAUUAGGGAUUGUAAUGAAUGUUUGGAAUCGAUCGGAUGUAUACAUACGUUCCACGCUUGGAAUUAGUUUCCGCUUCGUUUUGUUUAUAUGUAAAUAUUGGAGAUUUACAUUGUAAUAUUUGAGGUUUAUUCUUGUAAUAUAUUUGAGGAUUGUAGUGAACGACUGAAUCCCGGCGAGAGCUGGGCAGGCGGCCCACCGAACCUUCUGGUUCGCCUCAGGGGGAGGUGGGGCCGUCACACCUAGGCUACUAUUUUGGAUAAUUUUGAUUACCAUACAUAGAAAGGAUAGGGGAUAGUAGAUCUGAAAAAGAACUUUAGCUAGACGUUUUGUAUGUUUGGACUAACUUUGCAUAUAUAUCUUUUGAUGACUUUGUUGUCUCAUGGAAUCUCCUUGUGUGUACUCGACUGACUGUUAAUGUGUGAUUUGUUUGAUACUGUUGUGUAAUAUGUAUAUAUGUUUUGAUUGUGAAUAUCUUUUGGCUUCUUACUUACGUUUACCGUUAUCUUUAAUGUUAUAUUUACAUUUUACCCUAGAUCGACUAAAUUCUAUGGAAGGAACAUGUAGUGGUCGGGGUCAUGGGUGUGGUGGUAGGCAACCUGCAACUGCAGGGGGUAGUCGAGAAACUAUGCCUAAACCCAAUCCUGAGCCUAGAAUCGACCCUAACGCUCAAGUAGCUACAGCCAUCCAACGAAUGACUGACCUGCUAGCUCAUGUAGUGGAGCACCAGGGUCAAAACCCUCAGCCUCAACCUGUAAACGUUAAUCCUGGCAAUCACGUGGAGAGAGAGGAUAAAGCUCUCGAAAGGUUUCAGAAGUUUUCCCUACCCAAAUUUAUUGGCGGGCUAGAUCUUGAUGAGGCCGAGAAAUGGUUAGAAAAGAUGGUGGGCAUCUUUGCUGCUUUACAUUAUAUGGAAGAGAGACAUGUGACUUUCGCUGUCUUUCAACUGGAAAGGGCGGUCCGUUCUUGGUGGAACGUCAUACGGCAAAAGUGGGAACGGGAAUAAACGCCAAGGACGUGGGUAAAUUUCAGGAGGGAAUUCAACGCCAAGUUUUUCCCUCCUUUGGUUCAGGAAAGGAAAGAAAAUGAGUUUAUUCGAUUUCGCCAGGGGGCUCAGACCAUAGCUGAGUUCGAAAUCCAAUUCACUCGCCUAUCCAAAUUUGCCUCCGAACUAAUCAUGACCGAACAAUGAAGGAUAAGGCGCUUUGUUCAGAGUCUGAACGUGAAAAUUCAGAAGGAACUCGCUGUGGCCCAUUAAUGUUUUUAGUGAGAUCGUGGAGAAGGCUCAACGGGUGGAAAGCGCCAGGCUUCAAGUGAGGAACUUUCAAGCUAAAAAGCGAAAAUUUUCUCGUAGUAGCUCAGGGUAGGGGGAUAAGAGUACUCCUUCCAAAUUUGGAUGAGAAGCCGGAGACGGAAGGCAGCCAGGAGUAUCGAGAGGGGCUCAGUUAAGAGGUGGCUAAACUAGGCGAGGCCAAAAAGGAAAUUUCCAAGGGAGCUCAGCUUCGGCAUCUCGCGGUCCCUGUGGGCAUUGUGGGAAACCAAACCAUAUGGAAGACAAUUACUAGAGGAAGGAAGGAAAAUGUUUAUGCUGUGGAAGUGUCGACCACCAACUUGCCACUUGCCCCGUUCUAAAACAUAAUGAAAAGGGGAGCCAACAACCGCUGAUGACCAAUUCUGAACCAGUUAAGGUGGACGGGACUAAACCUAAGGUAUCGGCUCGAGUGUAUUUACUGAGCCACAACAGGUCCCUGACUCUUUCGAGAUUGUAGAAGGUACGAUCCCUAUAUUUCACUAAUUUGCAAAGAUCUUAAUAGAUCCCGGUGCUACCCAUUCCUUUGUUAUCCCCAACUUCAUGUGUGGUAUUGAUAUAAAAUCUGCUAAUUUACCUUAUGACUUAGAAGUCAGUACCCCCACGGGAGACCAUCGUUUGAUCACUAGCUUGAUUUAUAAGAAUUGCGAAAUUUGGGUAGGAGAGAGAAAAUUGUUAGGGGAUUUGAUAAGCCUGUCUAUUAAGGGGUAUGAUGUAAUCUUGGGCAUGAACUGGUUAGUCAGGUAUAAUACUCAACUUGAUUGUAAAAAGAAGGUGGUAGAAUUUCGUAUUCUUGGGGAGGCGACCUUAAAGUUAGAUAUAAGGGGUAGGUUAGUCUCAUCUGCCUUGAUCUCGGGCAUUCGGGUUAGAAAACUGCUAAGUAGAGGGGCGCAAGGGUUCUUAGCCUUUCUAAUCAAUACCCCCACCGAUAAAUUGAAGAUAGAGGAUGUGCACAUAGUGAAGGAAUAUCCAGAUGUAUUUCCUGAUGAGUUAGUAGCCCUACCUCCGGAGAGAGAGAUAGAGUUUAAAAUUGAUUUGUUACCGAGGACGUCGCCUAUCUCAAAAUCCCUUUACCGAAUGGCACCUGCCGAGUUUAAGGAGUUGAAAUUGCAGUUACAAGACCUUUUGGAGCGGGGGUUCAUACGAGAGAAUGGGUCUCCUCGGGGAGCCCCUGUAUUAUUUGUGAAGAAAAAGGAUGGGAGUCUGCGGAUGUGUAUAGACUAUCGGGGGCUGAAUAAUGUAACAGUUAAAAAUAAAUAUCCACUACCCCAUAUUGAUGAGUUGUUCGACCAGUUGCAAGAAGCAGUGAUCUUCUCGAAAUUAGAUUUUCGCCAGGAGUAUUACCAAUUGCUGAUUAGGAAAGAGGAUAUCCCAAAAACUGCUUUUAAUUCGAGAUAUGGGCACUACCAAUUUGCAGUCAUGCCUUUUGGACUGACCAAUGCCCCUGCUGCCUUCAUGGAUCUGAUGUGUAGGGUUUUUAAACCCUAUUUGGAUCAAUUUGUAGUCGUAUUUAUUGAUGACAUCCUGGUUUACUCCAAGACGCGUGAGGAGCAUGAGCAGCACUUAAGAAUCGUUUUACAAACCCUAAGAGAGCAUCAGUUGUACGCAAAGUUUAGUAAGUGUGAGUUUUGGCUGGAGAAAAUUUCUUUCUUAGGGCACGUAAUUUCUCAAGAGGGCAUUUCGGUUGAUCCGGCGAAAAUAGAGGUCGUGACUGAUUGGAAGAGGUCAGAAAAUUCCACGGAGAUUCGUAGUUUUCUAGGGUUGGUUGGGUACUAUAGGCAUUUCAUUAAAGACUUUUCCAAACUGGCCGGUCCUUUAACUGACUUGAUGAAGAAACAUGGUCGUUUCAUGUGGGAUGCUAGGUGUGAAGCGAGCUUUUGAGAGUUAAAGAAAAGAUUAACCAUGGCACCGAUUCUAGCUUUGCCCAACGGAGUAGACAGUUUUACCGUUGACGUGUCGAGAGAAGGUCUGGGGUAUGUGUUGAUGCAAAACCAGAAUGUGAUAUUUUUUGCUUCUAGGAAGUUGAAACCCCACGAGCAGAACUACUCAACCCACGAUCUGGAGUUAGUUGCAGUUGUUUUCGCUCUGGAAAAGUGGAGACACUAUCUAUACAGGAUAACCUUCGAGGUUUACUCAGACCACAAGAGCCUUAGAUACCUUUUCUCAUAGAAGGAAUUGAACACGAGGCAGUGACGGUGGAUGAAAUUUCUGGAGGACUACGAUUGCACUAUCAAUUAUCAUCCGGGGAAAGCUAACGUGGUGGCGGAUGUCUUAAGUCGGAAGGCUCGAGUAGCAGGGUUAAUGAUUAAGGAGUGGGAUUUGUUAGAAUCGAUUUGUCAGUGGAAAUCCAGACUUGGAAGUCAUAAGGUGAUCUUUGGUAAUGUUAAUGUAACAUCCACAUUACUGGAGCGAAUUAAAGAAACUCAGAAGGAAGAUGCUCGGUACGGAAGUGUGGAGAAAAGGGGAGUUGUCGGAUUUCAACUUUAGUCCUAAGGGAGUUUUGAAAUACCGAAAUCGAGUGGUGGUGCCCAAAGAUGAAAUGUUAAAGAAUGAGAUUUUAGAAGAAACUCAUCGAUCCAAGUAUACGAUCCAUCCGGGUAGUAGCAAGAUGUACCAGGACCUAAAAGGAGCCUAUUGGUGGGACAACAUAAAGAAGGAAAUUACUCAAUACGUACAAAAAUAUCUCAUCUGUCUACAAGUGAAGACGGAACAUCAAAAACCAUCUGACUUAUUGCAACCUCUUGAGAUACCCGAAUGGAAGUGGGAAAACAUUACAAUGGACUUCAUUUCGGAUUUACCGCAAACGCAACGGGGACAUAAUGCCGUUUGGGUGAUCGUCGAUCGGUUAACCAAAUCGGCCCAUUUCUUGUCGGUAAGCAUGAAGUAUUCCACGGAUAAAUUGACUCAGGUGUACAUGGACGAGAUCGUAAGACUUGUUUCGGAUAGAGAUCCUUGCUUCGUAUCUCGGUUUUGGCAGAAAUUCCAAGAGAUUUUGGGGAUUAAACUCAACUUAAGUACCACUUAUCAUCCCCAAACGGAUGGACAAUCGGAGCGAACAAUUUAAACUCUCGAGGAUAUGUUAAGGACCUGUGUGCUGGAUUUUGGGGGUAAUUGGGGUCAACAUAUGAUUUUAGUAGAGUUUACUUACAAUAACAGCUACCAUUCGUCAAUUGAAAUGGCACCAUACGAAGCGCUGUACGGGAGGAAGUGUCGGUCACUGAUCUAUUGGGAUGAAGUCGGCGAGAGGAAGGUGCUAGAUCCAACAACUAUUCCAUGGAUGGAGGAUGCACAAGAAAAAGUCAAGUUGAUACGACAAAAACUCCAAACAGCUCAAAACUGACAAAAGAGCUACGCGGAUAAUCGGAGAAAAGAUUUGGAAUUCGAAAUUGGGGACCGUAUUUUUCUUAAGGUCACACCAUUACGAAGUGUCACGGCGGGUAGAGAAAAGAAACUUCGACUGAGGUUCGUCGAACCUUUCAAGAUUCUUCAGAGAGUUGGUAAAGUAACGUAUCGACUUGAACUACCAUCAAGUCUAUCCAAAAUUCAUGACGUCUCUCACGUCUCGAUGCUUAAGAAAUAUUAUCCCGACCCGUUUCACAUCUUACAACCGGAGGAAAUUGAGAUAGAUGAGUCACUCACCUACGAAGAGAAACCUGUACAGUUGCUUGACCAAAAGGUUGAGGAGCUGAGAAACAAAUGAAUUCCUUUGGUGAAGAUCUUAUGGAGAAAUCAUGGGAUAGAAUAGGCUACCUGGGAGGUGGAAGAAGAAAUGCAAAAGAAAUACCCUGAACUGUUUGUGAAUCCAGGUGAGAAAUUUCGAGAAUGAAAUUCUUUUAAGGGGGGGAAAGUGUGAGAACCCGAAAAUUUUCUUAUUUUCUAGGCUUUAUUUUGUUUAAUUGCAUGCCUUUUCACUAUUUUCUUUAUUAGAAAAAAUUUUUAGAUAAUUUUUAUGAGUAAAUAUAGUUUUUAAAUUAUUUUUCUGAUAUAAGUUAAUUCAUGAGAUUUUAGGAGUGUAUAUUGGACAUGGAACCCGCUAUUGCGGUAAGUGCGCUAAAUUCAGGCAAUUAGAUUCAGUUUUGUAUACAGGGAGUAAAUCACUGGGUGUUAGGUGAUAAUUAGAGGUUGCCUAAAUGGAUUGGUGUUGGAGAGACAAAAGGAUAGCUUUGAACCAAAGGGUGACAAAUGUCACUUUGUGAUUAAAGGUUGGACUUUGACCAUCUUACUUACCUUUACCAAAUAUUCAAAAAUUGACCCAAAAUUCAUCAUCAUACAUCUCUCUCUUGGCCGACUCUCUUAGGGAGCAAAAGAAAGGAAAACCUCCAACUUUCUUCUUCUCAAUCUUGCUCAAUCUUACAACCUAACCAUUAAAACUUCAAAUUUCUCCAUAAAAACCCUUUGCAAGGUAGUAUUGAGGUAGUUGGUGGAGUGGUUUGGAAAGAGGAGGUGCUAAGUUGCUUCUUUUCUUAAGUUUGCAAGGUAAGUGGUUAAGGAAUCUUUCUUUUGUUUUUGAUAAUAUUCAAUUAGUGCCUUGUGUUAAUCAAAGAGGUGGUUUUGUGGAAGAUUUCAUGACUUUUGGUAGAGAUUGAUGAAUUUAUGUUUUUAUUCAUGAUUUUUCUGAUUUUAUAUGAUUAAUAUUGGUUGGCCAUGGAUGAUGGCUUAGUAUAGUCUAGAAUGAAGUUUUGGUGUGUUAAUUGUAGCUUUUUGCCGAAAAUUUCUGCUUUGUACGAAAAAUUUCAGAUUUAGGGUUUUGAAUUGGGGCUUUUCUAGGGUUAUUGUGGGACUCUUGAAUUGGCUUUGUUUAAAGGGUAUUGUAACCCUAAUAAGAUGUAUUGAAGGGCCUAUGACUUGCAAUUGUAAUUGUGGUUGUGUUGGGGUAAUAUAAGUGAGUGAUUGUAGGAUGAAAAUUUGAAAUUAUAAGGGGAAAUGCUGUCCUAAAUUUUAGGUUCAUACGAUUUCUUGGAAUUGGGUUGCUAGAGUGUUAAUUAGUGACCUUAGGAUUGUCUAAACCUUUAGCACCAAGUGUACCUUAUAUUAUUUUCAAGUUAUUACGGCUUUACAUUAGUGAUGUGUAGUUUGGAUUUAUGACUCAUAAUCGAGUCUCAUUGUGUUUUAUUGAAUGUUUUAGGGCGUGCCGGUGACGCAAGGCGUUCGUUGGACGGAAAUUUGUGAAAACUUCUUUGUUUGAUUGGUGAGUGUAUUACUCACAUGAUUGUUACUUCAUGGCUUUGUUAUACUUGAAAUCUAUGACUUGAAUGCUUGCAUAUAUUAUUGAGAUUGAUUGAGACGAGGGUGUACUUUAUCACUCCGCACUCUAUGUCUUAUGUGACUGUUUACUAUAUCAAUUGAAUGUCACUUGAAUAUACUUGAACCGGUGUCGUUUGGACGUGUAUCCAAUGACCUUUACUGUUAACACUGAGUUCAACCUCAUGGGUGGUCAAUUGAAUCAAGCCAGCAAGGGUUUGAUCGAGAAAAUUGACAAGCCAUGAGGACUGUUGAUGUUGAAUCCUUGAGUAUGAGACUCUUGAUUCUGGUAUACUCGAGUAUUAUCAUUUUUGAACUGAUUGGAGUUCGGGCCCGGUAGGAGUAUGUGAGGUGGACAGAAAUUGGAGAAAAGUGAAGUCUGCGGUAUUCGCUAUUCUUUAUACAUUGACGGAGAGUCAAUGAGGUAAGAUCAAGUAUGGCAAGCAAGGAAAAGGGCUCUUGAGAGCCAUCUGUAUCCUUUUACAAAUCUUUAUCGAAAUGUGGUGCUAGUUAACUCAUUUAUUGAAUGACUUUGGAUUGAGUGGCUUUGUGCUUGCAUGAACUUCGUUACUUGGGUGAUGGUAUUUCAUUGGGCGAAAGCUCACUCUAUUGCCUUUGUUUUCCUUAUAGGGAUAUGAAUAACUUUUGGAAGACUGUGAUUUUGGGAGCCGAGUGAGCUAGUUUAUUAUUCUUUUGUCUAGCUCCUCGAUAAUUGGAAAACUUUAAGUGUAUUUUGAUCCAACAUCUCUUUAGAGUUGUGAAUUUGCAACUUUAUGUGUAUAAACAUGUUUGGUCAUGUUCAUGUGUUAUGUUGGUUUGUAAAUGCUAAAUUCGAGGUUUAUAUGAUUUGUUGGUGAAUGUUUGGGUUUCAGACAGGUUCGAUUUUUGAAUGGCAAAAGAAAAAAUUUUGGCGGGAAUUACUGCGGGAGAAUCCGGCCGCAAAUUCGGUCAAUUCUUGGCCGGAUUGCUGGCCGGAUUGACUGGGGAAGUUUGGAAUCCGGGUAGUUGGUCUUUGCUUACAAUCUGGCCAAGAAUCUGGCCGGAUUGUGAUGUGGCCGGUACUGUUCAUGUGCGGCUCCGAUUUUCGUUUUUCUGUUUCGUGAUUUUUGAAUCGUUUAAGCGCACUUUUAUCUUCCGGAAUGUUUUAGAUUGUAUUUAACUGUCUCGUUAGUCCUGGCGAGAGAUGGACAGGCAGUCCGCUAACCCCUUUGGUACGCCUUAGGGGGUGGUGGGGCUGUCACAGUCUAGAUUUCACCUUUUAUGUGCACAUUUGAGAAAUUGUAUGUGCAUACACAUGUGCACAAUUCAGUGUACAUAUGCACAUUUACAUAAACUCAAAUAUUCACAUUCGAAUCAAUAAAAUGCGCAUUUGUACGCAGUAGAUCCAGAUGUAUACAUAUGCUCACAGAAACACAUGCACACAUGUACAAUAUGGGUGUUCAUGAAUACUUAUUGUUAUUCAAUAAAUAAUGUGUAAAUUACUAUAGCAAUAAGUUAUUCUUUAACAAUAAAUUUAUUAAUCACGCCUUAUUUACAAAUUUUUAAAAACUUACACCCUUUUUAAUAAAGAAUAUGAUUUUUUUUGCUAUGUCAAUAGCUAAAGGCGACAAUAUUACGCCACAUGAGUACUUCUUACAUAACAAGUGAUAACAUUUCAUGCAUGAGUUAGUACUUUUCGUACACCUUGUGAAUACAUUAUCUACAAGAGAAAUUUUACAAUUCAAAUAUAAUUAGGUGAUUAUAAACAUGGCUUGUCUUACAAAUUAAUUUAGAUGAGAAUUUUUCUUCGUUUUUUUAAAAAAAAUUUCUUAUAGGUGAAUUUUACAUUGUUCUCACCUAUGGUUAAAUUAUACAUAAUUCACCUAAUAAGCACAUCAUUUCAUGAAAAGGAAGCAAAAUUCUCAUGCAACAAAUUAACCUAUAAUACAAACAUGUUCUUCAUCACCUAAUAAUAUUAGAAUUCUAAGACUACUCUUGAUAAAAUACUCACACUGUUUAAGAAAAGUGCUAAUUCAUGUACAAAAUGUUACGACUUGUGCAAAAGGUCCUCAUGUAGUGUAAUAUUGUUGCCCUUAGCUAUUGACAUAGUAAAAACAAGGAAAAAAAGAAAAUAUGUUCUAUAUUAAAAAGAGUGCAAGUAUUUAGAAAUCUGGAAAUGGGGUGUGAAGUACUUUUCACGGUCUAAAAUAGUUAAUAAAAUAUAGCAAUAUACAUACAUGAAUUCAUUACACACACACACGCACCAAGCUAAACAAACAAAGCUCUUUUGUUUGUUGAUUGCAUGUUGGAAAUUCUAAUUGAUCAGUUUUCUUGAUGGGUCCUGGCUGAUUUAGUUGAUGUACAAUGUUCUUCAACUGUUUAACAUAUUCCCCUUUGUUUAUAGAGGACGCACGCCUUAUUGUGAUUACGCUUUUUGCUGUAAACCUGGUGGUAAACUAUUUUGGGAUUCCUUUAGAACUAGGCUUGGAUUUGUUCACUUUGUAUAUGUUUUGUGUAGAAAGCAGGCCACUAUUUAGUGUAUCUUUGUCUCAUAAGUAAUAACGGUAGGAUUUGGGAUUGCUUGAGGAAUUCAAAUUUUUGACCCAAGCAACUGAAAGAUUAAAAAAUAGUGGAGGAUAUCGGAAUAUAACUGUUUGGAGGAUUAUAUCUCUGUUUGAAAAUUUGAAAUCUUCAUUCUAUUUUUGCAGAGUGAAUUUUCAAAUUUGGUCCAUAAGUAUUCCACCAUAUAACGAAUCAGGGUGGGAAGUCAUAUUUAUUUGUUUACUUAUUACAAAAUAGGUAAGACUGUUGGUUUAUAUGGUUUUAAAAUGAAAAAAAUUUGAAACCAGGCAAUUUUGUUGUUCCAAUAGGUUGUUGUUCACCUGGAACUAAAAAUAAAAACAAAUAUGUAAAGAAAGAUUAGACAAUAACAAUAUAUUAAUACUUAAGUGUGGAGGGUUGAGGCACGGGUAUUUAUCUCUUUUUAAGGUAAUUCAAGCCUCUGCGGAAGAAUCAACUCUGGUGCAGCAGGUUCUCUAACUUGUCAUCCCUAAUAUACAACGGUCCAACCACACCUGUUAGCACUCUUUUUAGACCGCACAACUAGGAGAGUAUAGCUCUACAAAUACCUUUUUUUCUUGCCUAACUAUGAGAUAGAAAAUAGUGAAUUUAGACUAAAAAACCAUAAGUUGUUGUAGUAGAACUUUUCUAUCUCAACUAUGCAUAUAUAUAGGUGAAGAAAAGUUAGACAAACAUAACCUAUAUUACUAAUAAAAUAACAAAUAAAUACUGAAAUUAUUGGCUAUUCAAAACACAUUCAAAUUUUUAUUGUAGGUUACAAAAAACUUAUUGAAAAAUCAUAAUUUCACAUAAUGAUUCUUUGGUCAAUACCCAUUCAAUCCAAAUUUGAAUUGUAAGUUACAAAACCUCAAUGUAAUUGAAAAACCAUAAUUUCAUAUAAUAAAUCUUUAGUAAAAAUCAUUCAAACACCUAUAAAUUUGAAAAAAUUUUACCAAUUUAUUUCCCUUAUAGCAUGCACAUUUAAUUGAGAAUUUAAUUAUUUUAUUAAAAUACUACAACAAUCCCCCACUUAUUUUUAAUAAAAUAGUAUAAAAUUUAAAUGGCAAGAAAGGACUAUCAUACAUAAUAUAGGUAGCAUUGCCUUCAACUUAUAUUUAGUGUUGUAGUAAUUUCUUAUAUCAAAGCCAGUAGUGAACUACAGUCUUGAACUAUGGCUACUUAUGGGGUAUUAGAUAUUACCUUACCCAUAUAAUAGUCCAGGUGUUCUCAUGAGCUCUCAAAAUUGGCACUUUUCAGCCCUGUGCUCAAUUUUAGUUUCAUGAGUGUAUUAGAGAAUAAGUCCCAAUUCUCUUUAGGACGGCCCUACCCAUAACACUCAUAUAGGUGAGAUCCAUCAAUAGCGUUCCUAUAAUUCAAACAGUCCACUCAUCAGAGUUAUAGAUUUCAUUAAGAGUAAAGAAGCUCAACUGUACUUACAUUAUAGGAUAUAUGCACAUAUAUCAUAGGGAUGGAAUAUUAAUAUAUAAGGUUGUGUCUAUCUUUAUUCAAAUCACUAUGUAAUUCACUUUUUCCUUUGAACCUAAUUUUUGGGAUCUUCAAUCAUUAGGUUGGGUGUCCUCACAUGCGAUUUAUAUUAACAAGGUUAUUGACAAAGGGUGUGUGAGAACCAGAGAAAAUUAUGUGUAUACUCUAAAAUUAUUUUAUUUUAUUUACUUUGAUAGUAGAAAAAUUAUAUAUAACAAAUAAACGGUUACCUUAAAUGCCUAAUUGAAUCCUUAUAAAAUUGAGAAUUUAAAAAAUAAAUUCAAUAAGUACAUGUCUAAUAAGUUUCUCUUAAAGCUAAAUGUGUCAAAAUCAACGUAAGAAAAUUAUCCACGAAAAUACAAACAAAGUUAGGAGUCCCUGCAUGAAAUCAUAAAAAUUUCAGGCCUUGGAGAGCAAUUAAACUACAACUGAAAGACCAAACUAACCUUAAAUUGUAGACUAAUUACCAUGCGACCAUCACUUGGGCUAUUUCACAAAACAAUUGGAACCGAAUGCAAACUCUGUUGAGACCAAGCGGUGGAAAUAAAACUAGCUGGGAUUUGGGGCAGUGAGUAACCCUUCUUAAGACAGCUGCUAGGAAGGGAAUAUAAUAUCAAAUGUGCUGAGUAAGUAGUGACCGAAAGGCUGUAGUUUACAGCAACAAAACUGGUAGUGCUGAGGGCAAAAACUAAAGCUGCCUUCCCUUCUUGCUUUCCCUCUAAAACAGACCCGAGGGAGUGAGAAAAGAGAGCAAGGUUGAGAGAGUGAGAACAAGAGCCUGGUGAGCUUCGUCAGUAACUAACCCAAAGACUGGAAAGAACAAGCUGGAAAGGAAACUGAGUUCGUCUGCAUUUCCGAACAGUUAAGACUAGAGGUAAGUGUGAAUAACCACUUUCUGUUUAGUUGAUUUAAUCCGUUAAACAUAAGCUAUAUAUGUUGAGAUAGCUAAGAAUUAUUUCUGGUGCACUUGAGUACGUAUGUAGUAUGCUAGAUUCUAGUUAAGGAAAUUAAGUUCGGUUGCAGGAAAUCUUGCUUAGAACUGAUGGUCUGUCCUCUAGCCAAGAGAUAUGUAUGAAUUAAACUGAUAGCUAUCAGAGAAGGACAAAACGAAUAACUGGAAAUGUAGGAAACCUACUCACCUUGAAUAACAAAAACAGGUUACCCGUAGGAACUUGUAGGAAUUGGAAAUUUUGCAUGGAAGAAAUCUGAUGCAGGCUGCAUCAGUUUAGCAGUCUUGCGCAGACCUGAGUUUUCAUUCAAUUUUCUUCUAAAUUCUGGCCAUAAUCUGCCAUGUUUUGCUUAGGAUAAUUUGUGUUGGAAUCAAUAUACUCUGUACGUUUGGUUGGCAUAUGAAGCUGAGGAGGAACUAAGUGGAAAAAAUUGCUACUAACUAACUACUGAAACCUGUUGGCUUCGACUGGGAAGAACAGUUAGGAAGUUCUAGAUAUCCCCUGCAACCCUUAGCUCUUAAACCUGUGUAGUAAGCUGUAACAUAUCAUAAAGUCCAUAAACUUCAACAAGAAAGACAGAAACAAGUAGAAACUCAACUAAACAUUAAGGAAGGACUGAGUGCAGGUGAAAGCAGAAUGUUGGCCGAGGGAGUGAAGCAGAAUGUGCUUCUGUCCGGCCCUUUUUGACCCUAAAAAUGUGAGAAUUGGAUGUCGAUGUCUUCAUAAGAAAUGUAGAUCUAUAUCUUAGUUUUGAAACGCUAUAAAAUUUGCCCUAAUCCGAUAAGCGUAGCUCCAGUAUGAUCAAAACAGUAGAGGGUGGUAAAGCUGCCUUUCUCUUUGCCUUUCUUUUGUUUCCCGAAUGCAUUUUUGCGAUAAUGCUAGCCGUGAGAAUCAACUUUUAACCAGUAUUUCAUCUAAUUUCCAACUUUGUAAGCUUUCAUAGAUGAUAGUUAAGGCUACUUUGUAGCUUAAUGAAUAUGAGUUGCCUAUCUAGUGAGAGCAUGAGAUUGAGAGGAAGGAGUGGAGGGAAUAAUGAGUGCUGGAUCGUGUACAUUGCUAGAAAAAAAUUAGUGGUGAAUUUAUACGAAACAUCUCAUAGCAUUUUGACACUAACUAUAUGAACAUUUUGAGAACUUAAAACUAGAAAACUAAUAAAUUUAACAAGACGUAAACCACAGGCAAUCUAGUAUUUGAUUUAACUUAAAAAAGAAGGAAUGAAAGGUCAAUUUAUUCUAACCUUAAAAUAUUGAGUAGAAAAUAGUUUAAUCCUAAUCCAAACAUUUUACAAAGCUAUAAACUUGAAAAUAUAUAUCUUUCUUGAUUUGAAACGAAAGUUAAUAAGUUCAAGAGAAAAUGUGGGAUAGGUUGUUGGAUUUGUUAUAUCUUGUUUUAUAAGCCAAACUUGACUUUAGUGGUUUAAAUUAUAAAGUAACAAAUGAUAAGUGAUCAUAUAUAAAUUGUAUAUCAUUUUAGAACUUAGAGAACUAGUGUAAAGAAAUAACAUUUAAGUUACAAACGACUUAAAGUUAAUUAGUUAAAACGGGGACCAAUGGAGUGUUCCUAAAUUUUAAUAUUGGAAUCUUAAGUGAAAAAUAGUCUACUCUUAAUUUAGACAUUUUAUAAAUUAUAAACUUGAAAAAUAUGUAUAUUCCUUGGUUUAAAUGAUAAAGUCAAUAAGUCGAAAUGACAUAUGGAAUAAAUAUUGAAUAUAUUAUAUUUUAUAUUUUAAAGUCAAACUUGAUUUUAAUAACGUGAAUAAUUGGAUAAUAAAGUACCUUAAAGGUAGUUAUUUCUAAAUUUCACCUUAUUAAAGGUUAAUGUUAAAUUCAGUUGAUUUAAAAAGCUGUAAUUAAUGAAUAUUGAAUUGAGAAAGAUAUAUUCCUGAUGUAAAUAUUAUACAAGGAUACAAACCUGGGAAAAAUGUAUAAUUCUUAGUUGAAAAUAAUAAAGUUAAUAAAUUUUGAAAUAAAAUGUAAAAUAAAUAUUAAAUACUAUAUUUUGUAUUUUAAAGUCAAACUUGACUUUAAUCGAUCAAAUAAUAGGAUAAUAAAUAAUAAGUGAACAUCUACAAAUUAUAUAUUCACUUUGGAAUUAUGAACUUGUCUCAGGAAGUAGCUGUGAGUUAGGAAACAAACCCGUGGCUCGAGAAUAAUUUAUUUGGGUAUUUGGUGAGUGUUUUUCGAAUUAUGUGUUAACUGUUUAUGUGUGCUUAUAAUGAAUAUGUGACAAAAUGUGCUUAUUAUGAAUAUGUGACGGAAUGUGCUUAUUAUAAAUUAUUGCUAAGUGAUUCAUCGUAAAGUGUAUCUCAAUUCUAAGUCAGAGGUGUACUUUAUCGGAAUGUGCUUAGUUGAGGUUGAAAAUUGAUAAUUGACUAAAUGUUACUGUAAGUGUGCAUGAAUGUAAGUCGUAUGUGUGCCUCGACGCGUCGGCUGAACUGGGCUCCAAAACCCUCUGUUCAACGGACUAUUCGAGCUAGCAAAAGGCUUGGUCGAGUAGGACGGUAGCUUUGGGUUAAUGUUACUCGAGUAUUACCUUGAGGUUGGGAGAUUAUUGAACUGAUUAUUGAAUGUAGGAGAUUAUUUAUUGUUUUGGAGGAUAUAAGGAGGUGAAUUGAUGGAGUGUGUGCAAUGAUAUUGAAAUGAGUGUCUCUUGACACUGAAAUGAAUGUACAAUGACAUUGAAAUGAAGGUGCAAUGAUAUUGAAAUGAGUGUCUCUUGACACUAAAAUGAAUGUACAAUGGCAUUGAAAUGAAGGUGCAAUGAUAUUGAAAUGAGUGUCUCUUGACACUGAAAUGAAUGCUCAAUGACAUUGAAAUGACUUCCAGGUGGAGUGCAUAUCCUUUUGAAAGUGAUUGCACAGUGAAAUGUGCACUUCUUGCUUAAUUGUACUGAUUUAAGUGUUUAUUAAAUGUUACUUGCUCGGCAAAUCUCACUGAGCUUUAGCUCAGUCCUUUAAUUUUGUUUUCCUUACAGGAGUUGGUGGUCGGGGAACGAACGAGGGAUCUUAGGAAGUUAACGUGAAGACUUUUGUGAUUGUAAAUCCUUUAGUUUCAUAUUAUAGUUGAAAUUUUUGUAUUGAAUUUGGUAUUGUAAAAGAUUUGAAAUGUUAUCUCUAAAGUUAAUGUAAGUAAGUGAGCCCUGGCGAGAGCCGACAGGCGAUCCACUAACUUCUAGGGUAUGCCCUAGGAGGAGGUGGGGUCGUCACAGGGUGGAGCAAAAGUCAUAAAGGUUCAAAUAUGUACAAAAUGCACAUGAAAAUCAAAGACUAUAGGAUGGAGCAGUUGGCUUGGAAAAGAAAGAUGAAUUUAAAUUCUGGGAAGAUGAUUCAAGAUAUUAAAAUAGAAAUUGACGAAACCAAGGAAAUGGGAGAGAUGAAGGAAGGAUCAAACUGGUUGGACUUCACAAGAGGCCAGGAGAAGUUAAGAAGAGCAAUUUUGGAGCCAAAAAGUUAGGAUUAAAUAGUUAAAGAAUGGGGACAAGAGCUCAGCUUUCUUCCAUGCAUCGAUGAAGAUAGAAGAUGAAGGAAUAACAUUUCAGUCUUACAGAAUGAGGAGAAGAAAUGGUGUAGGACUGAUGAAGAGCUAGAGUGUAACGGCCGCACCUCCCCCUAAGGCGAACCAAAAGGGUUUGGCGGGUCGCCUGCCCAGCUCUCACCGGGACUCACUCACUUAUUACAACUCUUAAAUGAAAUCGGAAUAAAAUCACAAGAAUAAAUAGGGCAACGAUCCAAAACUUAAAGCGGAACUUAUAUACAUUUCCAACCCAAAAGAGAGUAUAAAUAUCGAAUAUACAAAGGUUCUCAAUCCUUCAUACGUCCAGUCCGUGCCAAGCACUGGGACGAGAACCAUUACAAAAAAAAAUAAAAGAACUAGACUAGGCUAGUCUAUGCUCUCAUCCUGUUCGCCGUUCCCUAUUAAGAAAAACAAAACUAAAGGGGUGAGUUAAAAGCUCAGUGAGGUUCCGAACACAUAAUCAAAUAAUCAUUUCAAUACAUGAAACAUGGAGUAUCAAUAAUUCAAGAAACAUUUACAAUGGAAAGCGAUAGUAACAUAUUCAUUAAAAGGAUACGGGCUCACAGGGAGCCAUGCUUUCGUUCGUUCAUUCGUUCUCCUGACAGUUCCCCUUAUUCCUCCAUUCUUUUGAAGAAUGCAUUUUGUAAUUAAAACCCUCGUUCGUUCUUUCAUUCGUUCAUUCACCCCCUUCCCGGCCGUUGGCUAGGCUCCACCCAUCCGGACGUUGUCCGGAUUACAAGGUAAUACUCGAAUAUACCAAACGUUCACCCAGGGUCACCAUAUCGCCCGACCGAGUCCGCUUCUGGCUCGAGUCGAUCGGUAACGAAGGGCAGGGCCCAAUUCAGCCGAAAGGCUUACAUCAUGCGCAACUGAUGUAUUAAUCAUUAAAGCAUUGAAAAUUUCACGUUUCAUUUAGGUCGAGCGCGAUAAAGUACACACUCGCCUGGAAAAUUCGUUUGGAAAUCAUUGGAAACAUUUAACACAUGAUCAAACAAUAACAACAAGUCAUGAAGUCAAGGGAGAUAUAACAAACAAGGAACACUCACCUAUGUACGCAAAACAACUUGCAAAAUAUCCUUCCGGAUAUUAUCCUUAGUCACCGAGAAAACCUAAAGUUAACGAGACAGAAUAUUAUAGCUCAUCUAGCAUAAACAAUUAGGUAUUUAAAGUGAAACGAGGACAUUUAGACCCGUAGACAAAAUAAUUAGGGUUUCGUAGACCAAAUGUAAAACCAAAUUCAAAAAGAUUAUAAAAUUUUCCAAUGAAACACUUGAACCAAAGACAAGUCGGAAUCCAACUAGAUAGGCUAAGAAAUACUGUUUUCGGAAUCGUUUAUAUAGUUCAAAAUCAUCUCAUAUUCAAGUAGAUUUUAUAAACUAAAGGUCUUAAUGAAAUUCAUGUAAAAGGGAGAACAAAGUACCCAAGAAAACCCUAAACCACUUCUCUUUAUUUGGUAAGAGUAAGUAAACAUUUGGAGUUUCCAAUUGAAGAAGGACCAUGUUUUAAGAUGGAAAAAUGGUCAUAGUAUUUGCCAAAUGAAAAUAUACAAGUUCAAAUAGAAAAUUAGUCCUUGAGCGAAAAUUUGGGCAGCACGCCCUUUGUAUUUACCUAUUUUCCAGCCAUUUAUGGCUUCAUUGUUUUCCUCAAUCAAUCCCAAUAUUACACACAACAUAAACAACCACUCAAUAUGCUCAAGACUAUACAAGGACAAAAAUUUAAGCUAACAACAAGUGUGGAAAUGAAGUUUACAAAUGACAGUUUUGACGGGUUUUUACGGAAUGAGCACAUCUGAGGCUACGCUUAUCGGAUUGAGGUGCAAAUUAUACCAUUUCGAAGCUAAGAUAGGGGCUACAAGGUUGAAGAAGGCCACUCAGUCCAGUUUUCAAUGUAUCUAGGUCAAAUUUACCUAAACAACUCCAGAUUUUCCAAUUCAAAGUUUACUAUAGCAGUCCUGACUCCUUCAGUCAUAUCUCAGAAUAUACAACUCCAAUUCAAGUGAUUCCAAAACCAUUUGAAAGCUAAGAUACAAGGCUAUAAGUCUGAAGAAGACAUCGACAGCCAAAUCAGUAGUAUUCCUGGUCAAAACAACUAAUUACAGAAGCUGAUUAGUAUGUUCGGAUAGAAACAGGGUAGCAGGGGUAUUUCAGUCUUUUCACAGGCUACGUUGCUCCGAUUGAGUUGAAAUUUUGUAGGAUACUAUAAAAUAUCAUUCUCUACAACUUUCAUGUUUUAACCCAAAGCUAAUUCAGCCUCUAACAUGGAGCACUAAAACCGGACAGAAUUGAAGUCAUAUUUGCCAGAAAUCUGGAAUUUUCGGUUUCAAGGGAAACUUUCUUCAUUUCUUGCUUCAAUCACUACCAAAGCCCCUUAUAUAAUCUCAGAUACAACAUAUAUUAACCAUACAGCAAGUAUAGGCAGCAAUCUUUCAAACCCUAACUCAUAUAUCUAAAAAAAAUUAUACACUAUCCACCCAAAUCUUGAUAAUAGCUAUCAUCCACCACAAAUUUAAGGUGCUAAGCCAAUUUAAACAAGAUCAAGAGUAAGAAAUGGAGAAAUCAUCAUCCUUACCUUGUUUAAGUGUUUACCAAGAGCAACCCUAGCUUCCCCUUCAAAAUUUCACCAACACCUCACUAAAUAAACACUCAAGGAUAGCUUUAAUCGGUUUAGUUUUCUUUCUUUCUCACUUGGUGGCUAGAUUCAAGAAGAAAUGGAGCAGCUUUCUCUUGGUGUUUUUUCCUCUCUCUCUCUCGGCCAAGCAGCAGAAAAAAUGAAGAAGAAAGAUGGCUCCAAGUGAUAAGAAGGCAAGAAAAAAAAAAUCAACCAAAGAGCCAUAGGGUGGUGACACUUGUCACCACCAAAGCCACACAAUUUUCUCUCUCUCUCCCUUGCAUUUUUGGCCCUAAAUUUCGGUCAAAGCUAGCUGAAAAUAAGGAGAUAUUUUGCUCAAGUAUUAAUGAGCUCAUGUGGUAAGAAAGUGGUGGUCAAGAGGUACGUUCAAUCGGUAGUGCGCGGUACCUGUCGGUUCGCGCCGUUUUUCCUUAAAUCACACGUACUAGGGUUUUUACUUCCUAUUCACUAACUUUAUAUCAUUGCUUCUAAUCACAUAUUAUUUUUCACCUAAAAGUCACUCUUAAGCACCAAAUUUGAUCCUCGCUCCGUACCGGAUAAUUACACUACGGAUACACGUGAAAACCCUAACUUGCUCCAACUUGAAAACGAAAAGUGAAACCCUACUUUCUAGGUUUAUUUGCACUUAUUGUGGAAUGAUUGGGUAGUAGGGCUAUAAUAAAAUCAUAAGUUCCAAAUAAAAGGAAAUUUUUAAGAAAAACGUGAGGCAUUUACAAUUCCAUAAAUCGAAUUUAGGGUUUCGGUUAAAACGUGAGAAAUAUGAGAAAACGGUCAGUCACAAAUGAAACUAGGGUUUUGAUUAGACUUUUAGCGUUUCUAGUAUUUUAAACAAAACAAGGUUUUAAAUCAAACCCAAAGAAAUAACUUUAGUUUCUUCUUUAGAACAAAAUAAUGUUUUAAAAUAAAAAUAAACUAAAGAAACCGUAAUAUCCUUUUUGAGACUAAACAAAAGGCGAUUCUAAAAGUUGGGGUAUCACAUAGAGGAGGAAAUAACCAAAUAUUUCAAGGAAUUGUUCACUACCUCUCACCCAGAUGAUGGAGCAGACAUUAUCCAAGGAAUUUCACUAUUUAUGACUGAUCAGAUAAAUGCAAGGCUAAUGGGAAAUGUGAUAGAACAGGAGGUUAAAAAGAAAAUAUUCUCAAUGCACGCUACCAAAGCCUCAAGUACUAAUGGUAUGACUCUAGUUUUUCAAAAGUUCUGGCAUAUCAGCAACAUGGAUGUCUAUUAAGCAAUCAAGAGUUUCUUCAAUCAUCUGGAAAAUUGCUAAAAGCUAUAAAUGAAACUCUUCUAAUCACCCUCAUUCCUAAAGUUGAAGCUCCUAGUAAAAUCUCUCACUAUAAGCCCAUUAGUUUGUGCAACAUCUUCUACAAAAUCAUAACAAAAAUUCUAGUAAACAGGCUGAAGCCUCUGCUUGGAAAAUACAUCAAUAACUCUUAGUCAGCUUUUAUUCCAAAAGACAGAUCAUAGAUAAUGUUUGAUUGCUCAUGAAUGCAUCCAUGCCAUAAAUAAUGAAAGACCGGGGAAAAAGGAUCAUAUGGUGAUUAAGUUAGACAUGUCUAAAGCUUACGAUAGAGUAGAGUGGGAUUUACUUAGGAGAGUUAUGGAGAAAAUGGGCUUUUGUAGGUAGUGGAUUAAUUGGACCUAUGAGUGCUUGUCUAUUGCCUCUUAUGUAGUGAACAUCAAUGGGGAAAAAGGGGUAUAGUAAACCAAUUAGAGUUAUCAGACAAGGGGACCCUUUUUCCCCAUACUUGUUCCCACUAUGUACUGAAGGAUUAAUCAAUUUCAUUUAAAAGGCAGUACAGCAAAGGAAAAUUUCAGGAAUGAAAAUCUCUACUGCUAGCCCUACACUAUCUCACCUUUUUUUGUGUGGAUGAUUCAUUAAUAUUCUGCAGGGCAAAGAAGAAGGAAGCUAAAGUAGUGAUGCAUAUUUUGCAUAGAUAUUCAAGAGCCUCAAGACAGGUGAUAAACAUUGACAAAUCAUUUGUGAUGUUUAGUAAAAAUCUGAAUAAAGAGGAAAAGGAAGAGAUAUUGGAAAAGCUGGGAAACAUGCAUCAUGCCAAAGAAAGUAAGUACCUGGGAUUGCCUAUGGUGAUUGGCAGAACCAAAAUACAAGUCUUCAACUUCAUUAAAGAGAAGAUGAUGGGCAAAUUGAGUGGAUAGAAGAACAAACUCUUAAGUCAGGCUGGCAAGGAAACCUUACUAAAAUCUAUUAUUUUAGCCAUGCCUUCAUAGGAAAUGGCUUGUUGUAGGCUACCAAAGACCUUGUGUAAGAAUAUUUGUGGAGAAAUGGCAAAGUUCCAGUAAGGUCAAAAAGGUGAAGAGAAAAGAAUUUACUGGAUCAAAUGAAACAAGUUGGCUGAGGUCAAAGGAAAAGGGGGGCUUGGUUUUAAGGACCUUCAAAAUUUCAAUAUGGCUAUGCUAGCAAAACAACUUUGGAGGAUAAUUACCAACCCAACUUGUUAGUUAGUAGGGUACAGAAAGGUAGAUAUUUUAGAGGGAGAUCCUUAUGGGAUAUGGAAGGUAGGCCAAAUGACUCUUGGAUGUGGGAAAGUUUGUUAAGUGCCAAGAAUCCAUUGAAAGAAGGGGCAAGGAAGAAAGUGGGUGAUGGAAAAUCUAUCAAAAUCUAGACUGACAGAUGGUUACCACAUAGAGAGGAUGACAAAAUGUUAAUUAAGAAGCUAGUGGGAUGUGAGCUAUAAAUAGUGUUCAUGAUUUACUAUGUGCAGGAAAAUGGAAUUGGGACAUCUUCAAUGAAGUUUUUGGAGACGAGGAGAGAGCCAAGAUUGCAAGGAUUCAUACCAGUAUAUUUGACACAAAAUACAAACUAUACUAGAUACAUUCAGCAUAAGGAAAUUACACUAUAAAGUCAAGAUAUGCAGCAACCAGUAAACCUAUGGGAAGAAGAGCAAGUGAUGGGAGUAACCAGGGUAGUGGAAGCAGGGAAGAAAGCAGAACCAAUGUGUGGAAAGUGCUAUGGGGCAUAAACAUGAAACAUAAAAUAAAGCACUUCCUUUGGAAAUGCUUACAAGGAAAGCUUCCAGUAAACCAGGUAGUAAAAGAUAGAAUGGUAAAGAUGAUGCAAUGUGCAGGUGCUGUGGAGAACAGGUAGAGACACUUGAGCAUGUUUUAUUCUUUUGCCAGAGUGCUGAUAUGACAGGAAAAGUAGCCUCUAUAAAAUGGAAUGGUAUAAAGGACUUAAGAAAGAACUUUUGGUUAUCGUGGAAUGAGUUAAUGGAGGCAACAAAAAAAAAAGAAGAGGCAAGUUUGCUUAAUAGGGAACCUAUUAUGGCAAGUUUGGAAAAAAAGAAGUGAGGGACUGUUCUGGGGAGUAAAGAGGCAUCCUAUGGUUGAUAUUAACAAAGUUGUGCAUGAAUGGGAGGAAUAUAGGUAAGCACAGGAGAAGGAAAGAACUGAUUAACAUGUUGAAGGAGACUGUAUAGAGGAAAAAUAGAAACUACCAUAGAGAGGUUGGGUCAAACUCAAUACAGAUAUAGCUCUAAGUUCUGAAAAACAACAAGCAAGUUGGGGGAUAGUAGCGAGAGCACCAAAGGGGGAAGUCAUUGCUUGCUGGGCAAGGUAGAGCAAGGAUGCAUAUGCCCAAUAGUUGAAGAAGCUAGAGCAAUUAGGUAUGCUCUAGUUAAAGCAAAUAAAGCUGGACAAAGUAGAGCCGAGUGCCAAUCUGAUUGCAAGCAACUGAUCAAAAAGCUAAACUACUCACAAGAGAAGUUAACACUACUAGAUAACGUACUAGAGGAUAUAAGGAAACUUAAAAAGCUAUUUAGUGAACAUUGCUUUUCCUUCAUCAAAAGGAACAACAACUAUGUUGGUCACAAGUUGGCAAAGUUCGCCAUUGAUUCUUGCAUUGAGAUAUUCUGGAAGGAAUCCUUCCCAACUUGGCUAUUAGAUGCAGCCAAGAGUGAUGUAAUGAGCAGUUGCUCAACUUUAUGUAAUUAUGUUUUCUGAGCUAUAACAUGUAAGGAUCGAAGACAACCUAAGAGGGGGGUGAAUUAGGUAGUAUAAAAACUGGUUAAGUUGUGAUUCACUUUUUGAGAAUUUGGCCUCUUUUUCUAAAAGACCACACAAUGAAGCAAUUGAUAAGAAAGCACAAGUGCUUGUGAGUAGAAGAAAUGAGUAAUUUAUAUAUCAAGACAGUAAGUAAAAGAGAUAGAGAAUCGAACCAAAUACCAAACUCCCCUUGAGUUUGAAUAUCAUUUUAUAGAGCAAACUUCCUCAAGUUGAUCAACUUACAACCAAUCUCUUGUGUACAAGGGAAGGAUCACUUCCUCCUUGCCCCAAGCCACACCUGAUCAAGCAAGGAAGUUUUACUAUCAUUUGGAUAACCCUCACAAAGCUACACUAUUGAAAUAAUUGAAUCACCCUAUAAAAACUUAUCAAAAAUUACACAACUAAGAGUACAAAUCCUCUUUGAAGAGUAUUUUACUACUAAAAUCACUCUUGAUCUGAUGUAAUCUCAAUGUGCAAAGUUAUUUUGAAGUGGUUGACUUUGUUCUAUUUAUAUGGGACCAAAAAGUUUCUCAAUUAAUGCUUCAAUAGAUAGAAGGCAACUGAAGAGUCAACUAGUCGUUGGUAGUGUCGGACGUCCGGUAGACCAACUUCUUGCGUCCGAACGUAGGCAGUGAACUCAAGAAAUUUUCUUGACUUAUUUCAGACGUCUGGUACCUUUAAUCUAUGCGUCCGAAGGUAGGAGGUGAAACUGUGAAUUCUUCUUUAAUUCUUUUCGGACGUCCAAUGUCUCCAAGGUUUUGCGUCCGAAGUUUCGCAAUGCUUGUCGGACGUUCGAUGCUCUGAUGAUGUGCAUCCGAUCGAGGUCAGUGAGGUUAGAAGGAUUGACUCAAUAUCUUCAGACGUUCAAGGGUGAAGUUCUUCAUGCGUCCAAAGUUGUGCAAAGAUUAUCGGACGUCCGAUCCAGUCUUCUUGUGCGUCUGACAGCAGUUUCAGCAUUUUUUGUGCUUAAUUUUUUAACCUGUUUUGCUCCAUUUCUGAAAGGGUCUAUUAGGAGAACAUUAGUAAGAUCCAUUUGUUUUGUAAUCAUUAAAACCUACAGACUGAGAUAAACAAUCUCUCUUUUUUUGAUGAUGACAAAACAAUGGAUUGAGGAAAAUAAUUGGGGCACACCUCCCCCUUACUUGAUGCAUCCAAAGAGUGGAUAAACAUGUUCUCUCACAUAUAGAUUAUUGGACACUUCCCCUGAGUGGAUACUCCCCCUUACGUAUAGAUUACAUAUCCAUUUCUUUCCCUUUUUGUCAUCAUUAAACAAACCAGAAUAUAGUAUCCAAUACACAUCUUUAAUAUUUUCAGCAAUAUAAGAAGCCAAAACUAUCAAUAAUUAUCAGCAAUACUAUCAACACUUAUCAGCAAAACCAGAAGCCAAAACACAACAUCAUUAACAUUGACAAUUGUUAACAGCAGACUGAAUUAAGCAACAUUCAUCCAAAAAAUCGGAAUAAUCCACAAAAGCAACAUUCAUUCAAAAGAUAAAAGAUAACCAAAUAGUUUUACAGACCAGCAGAGGAGAGGAAAUAGAAUUCUUAAUACAGAACACACGAAAUGUUUUAAAAUGCAAGAGAGGCCAAAAGCCUGUUAUGGACUACUAUCCUAGUCAUGAAGUGCAUUUACCUAGAAGAGCCUAAAUGGUAAUCUUUGACGAUCCAAGCCUCCUCCUUACUAGGCGAAAUUGAGCAGGAUCAACUUGUUCCUCUUCAGUGUCCUCAUCAUAAUCCUCUUCAGUUUCUUCUUUAGUUGCUGGAGUCUUUCCCUUGUUCUAUGGUUAAGAACUGGAGGCACGAUACUCUAGAGUAGUUUCAGUAGUUGGCUCAGUUCUAGGCUCCUUUUGAUAUGCAUUCUCAUUGUCUUGAGGAAUGGAAGGCAUUAGCAGAUUCCUUUUGUCAAUGAAAGUGGCUUGUUGUUCGGAUGACAUGGCCAUCAUUAGACCAUCUUCAAGAAAUAGGAUGUAAUGUUUGAGGUCCUCAAGCAAAGAAAUGACCUCAAAGUUGGAUGAAGAGGACUUAGUAGCUGAUUUUCUAGGACGGAUAGUGAAGGGUGAGACAAACAUGGACUGAUCUCGAGGAGUCCUAGGGGUAAUAGGAGUUUCAUGAAAAUUUUUUCUUAUAGACUCCGAACAGUUUCCUUAUGGCACCAAUGACCCUAAAAAAAUUUCAGAUUUUUCUUUCAAAAUAAGCCUUAGAGAAAACAGUUUAUGCACUUUGUUUGGUGAUUUUUCAGAAAAGGGAAUUUCAAGAUGAGUAAAGAUAGGAGUCAGAAAUUUUUCAUAGAAAAGUUUUCUACGGCUAUCAGUGCUAAUUUUGAGCAAGAAUUUACACAUAACGAAGUCGAAAUCAAUUGUGAUUUUUUCAUGAAAGCAAUAGAACAGGUAAAGUUUCAUUUUGUUGGCUUCAGUUCUAUGACCAUCAGUAGGGACCAACAGAUUGAAAAUUAUGGAAAAGAUGAUCAAGUUUUGAGGAUUGAGAUCUUCCAAUCUUACCUCACCAGGAGUAUUAAAAUAGGUUUGAAAAUAAGUCAUCAAUUUGAGAACAUGAAAAUGAUGAUAUGCAGAAGGAAAUUCUUCAUAUGAAAAGAAGUUUGCAAUUUUUUCUUUAAAACCAUCUUCAAUUUUGGUUUCUAGAAUAGUGUUGACAAUGUUGGGGUUCAACUCUAUGUUAACAGAGUUGACACGUGAAACUAGAUCAGUGUGUGAUUUACCCUUCCUAAGGUUGGCAAAGAAUUGAUAAAGCAUGUCAGGAUAGUAUGUGUUUGGAAUGGUCAGAAGAUGAGUCCAUUUUUAGAAUUCAAAAAGCUUAAGAACUGGUUCAAGAUCAAACUUACGAAAUUUGUAUGGGAUGAUAGUCCUCUGAGUGAUGAAGCCUUUCUGCGAGAUCCAUUCGACUCUCUCACUGGCAUCAUCAUCAAUGAACUUUGAUAAGGGGGUUGGUUCCUCUGCAAUUUGAGCGUCAGGUUGCUCUUUGGUUGUGAGAACCCGUAAAUUCCUUAAUAAUUUUCCUAGGGUUUAUUUCCUUUAAUGGCAUGUUUUCUGCAUUUUCUGGCUUAGAAAAAUUUUCCUGGUGAAUUUUAUGAGUAAUUAUAGUUUUUAGAUGAUUUUCCUAGCAUUGGGUAGUUUUUGAAAAAUUACGGAGAGAUUAUGGACGUGGGACCCACUAGUGCGAAAAGUUCGGAAAAAUUCGGCCAAUAAGGUUAAGUUUCGGAUACUGUGUGAAAUUUAUCGGGUAUUAAGAGAUAAAUAGAGGAUGUUAAGUGAUUGAUGUGAGAGGAAAAGGAAGGGAUAGGAAUGCAUUAAUUGAGGUGACAAGUGUCACCAUUUCAUUGGGUAUGGCUUAUGACAACUAUUCAUGGUUUUUGACUUUUGACCAAAUUGGUUAAAUAUCUAAAAAAUUAACCAAAAAUCUCUUAUUCUUGUCUUCCUCUUGGCCGACUUUCUUGAGCUUCAAAAGAGAGAAAAACUCUUCAAGUUUUGGCUUUCAUCUUGCUUCAAUCAAACCAUCCAACCUUCUAAACUUGUUUCUACUCCAUAAAACCUCUUCAUUUAGUGAUAGUGAGUUGUUUGGUGAAGUUGUUUGGAAGUUUAAGGUGACAAGUUGCUCUCCCUCUUGUUUUACUAAGGUGAGUGGUGGAUGAACCCCUUUCCUCCCUCUAAUGAUGUUUAAUUUAUGUUUAGUAGUGGCAUAAGAGGCAAUUUUAUGGAUUAAUUCUUGAUUUGUGGUUGAAAUGAUGAAGUUUUAUUAUUUUGGGGAUUUUUCUGUUUUAAUAUAAGCAUGAUUGUGUGGCUAUCUAGGAUGAUUAGAAAUGGUAUAUAAUGACUUAAGGAGGUGGGAAAAGUGAACAAUUGCAACCAAUUUCUGGUUUGGGAAAAUUUUCAGCAAGUUAGGGUUUUUGGGUUGCACAAUCUGUCCGAAUUUUUAGCACAUAGUUAGAGGCCGAAUUGGCCUUGGCUCAAAACAUAAAAGUUGUAGGUAUUGAUGUGUUUGAGGUGCCUGUAAAAUUUCAGGUCAUUUGGAGUAGUGUAGAGUGAGAUAUGUCGAUUUUACUGUAGCUGUUCUGGGUUGAUCAGAAUGUGCAAACUGUGUUUGUAAUCGUCUGUUUUGACUGGAAUUGCUUUGGAUUUGGAUGUUGGUGUCUUCUUAUGAAAUGUAGCUUGAGGUCUUAGCUACCACAUGCCUUUGGAAUCAAUGCAUUUGGACCUGUAUAGACUGAGUUGGACUAAUUACAGCAUGGUGUGAUUUGUAAACCUGCAAUUACGGUUCUGGUUUGGUAUUCUGUAUUUUUGACCUAGUUGUGCUAGGAUUUGGACUGAGUGGCCUUCUACAUUGUUGUAGCCCUGGUUCUUAGCUUCGAAACGGUGGGUCUUACACCCUCAUCCGAUAAUCGUAGUGCAAUUUGUACCAUUACCGCAUAAUGAAGGCAAAACUGUUUUUGUUGUUAUGGCCAAGAUGGCUACAUUUCCUGAUUUUCUGGUUUGCUACAAUGCUUAUAUAUGCAUAUGAAAUCUUAUUGGAGUUGUGGUUGGUAUGGCUUUAUGACUCGUUAUCGAGUCUCCAUGUACUUGUUUGCAUGUUUUAGGGCUCGCUCUCAUUCCGGUCAUUUCCUAGCUAACUUUUGUACUUGUACUACUUUGAGCCUAGUGAACGGCUUUUGGGAAAUGAGAUGACUUUUAUGUGAAAUGUUGGGACUGAUUUGAGGAAAUAAUGAAGCCUUAAUGGCUGGAAAAGUAAGAAUUUUAGGGGAGGUGCUGCCCGAUUUUCUAGACCGUUUGGUUCCUUUAAGUUGGAUUUGCCUUUUGGUGGAAAUGAAAGGCUUUUGGGUUGUUUGCGCCUAAGUCUUCAUGUUACCUUUUUGUUUCCAAGAAAAUCAUGUUUUCCACCCUUGCAUUAGUAAUUAUUUGGCGAGGCAUACGACUAGUAGUCGAGCCUCAUGUGCAUUGUGUUUACUCGAUUAUGGAUGUGAAACCUUCAAUUGGUUUAUUUUGGUUAUUUUAGGGUUUCUUGGCGAUUAAGGCCAAUCUGAAGUAAAAACUUUUGAAGUUGAGCCGGUGAGUGUACCACUCCCCUCCAUUGCUGUUUAACUUGAUUUUUGCUCUGCAAUCUGUUUAAUUUGUUUGAGAUGAGGGUGUACUUUAUCACACUCGUUCUCUUGUCUGUUCAUAUGCCAAUUUUGAGUGCCUAUCUGAAUCUGCCGUCUGAAUCUGCUAUCUGAAUCUUCUAUUCUGUAUCUGUAUCUGAAUCUGUUAUCUGUGUCUGCAUCUGUUCGGAUUUCUAUGACCUAUGAGCUCAAUCCUGUGGCUAAGUUAUUCGAGUCGGGCCGGCAAGGGCCUGGACGAUUAGAUAACGAACCACGGUAGUCUGUUCGGGAAUUUUUGGGUAUUGAGACCCUUGAUUCCGGUAUACUCGAGUAUUACCAUUUCUGUUCGGUUACGGUGAGCGGGCCCGGUAAAGGGGGUGUUUGGUGGACGGAAUUCGGUGUGAAGAGGGGUUUACGGACGUUUUGGUUCUAUAUACGUUGACGGAGAGUCAACCGAUUUGGAUCAAGUACUGCGCUGGAAAUUUGGCUCCUGAGAGCCACCCGUAUCCUUCUGAUUUGAAUCAUUGGUUCCUUUGCUUUACAUCUGGCAUGUGUAUCUGAUUUGUAAAAUGUGAAAUGCCAUGAUUUUUCUGCUAUAUGUUUGGUACCUCAUUGAGCGCAAGCUCACCCCUUUCUGUCUCUUUUGUUUUCCUUACAGGAAAAUAAACACUUUUGGUCUGGAUUUGACAAAUGGCUGCCAAAUUGAGCUUGUGGAACAUAUCUUUUGUAUAGGUCAUGUAUUAAAACCCUAAGUGUACUUUUGGGGCGUUUUCUCUUUUGAUUUGGCAAACCGUGUAUAUGUAUCAACUUUUGAAAACUUUGGUAUGUCAUUUUGGAUUGUAAUCGCUAAAGUUCAGAUGUGAAUGUUUGCGUGCUCUUUCGAUUGGGUUCUGACGGGUCGGUUACUAUUCAUGGCCGACUCCGGAUUUCAUUUUAUUUUAUUUUGGGUUGUUUUACUAUUUUGAUUUGUUUACGCGCGUUUGUAAGUUCCGAAAUGAAGCAGAUAGCUCUAAUCUGAUCCGUAGUCCUGGCGAGAGUUGGGCAGGCAGUCCGCUAACCCCCUUUGGUUUGCCUUAGGGGAAAGUGGGGCCGUUACAUUGGUAGGACGUUUUCUCUUUUCACUGCGUUGAUCGGUUGGCACAGUAUUUUGAACACCAGACUUUGUCCUUGGUGACUUCCUGGUAGAAGGUUCUGCAGUUUGCUGUUCCCCAGCAUUUUUCUCUGCAGCCUACUGUUUCUCACUUUGCUCAACAGAAGGAAUGACAGUUUUUCUUUCCUUAGUUUGAGCAAUUCCCUUCCUUUUAGCGGACCUUUUUCCCUUUUUACUGUGGGAUUCCGUCACUUUUUUUGGUGUUUUUGUGACGGAUGCAUCAGUAUUGGUGGGCUGCUUCAUUUUCUCUUCACUACCACAACUGGAUGCUCUUUAGUUUGAUGCUCCACCAUCUGCUCAACAGAUGGUUCAACAGAUGGCUCACCAGUUUGAGCAUUCUGCUUCCUCUUUGCAGACUGCUUCGUUUUUCCACCACGAGUUCCAGUUCUCUUUCUGGAUGAUUUGGUGGAAGGUUCGACGACCUGAACGUCUUCAUCCUCUUCAUCUCUAAACCUGAAAGUGCAUCCGACACUGACAGACCCUCCUCUAGUUUUCACCAUGAUGCAAUGCAAGAUGAUGUUGUUGCAGAGUAUUGUGAGGACUCGCAAAUUUCUUAUAUUUUUCUCAAAAAUGACUUUUUAUUUAGAAAUUAUUCAUUUAUUAUAGCCCUACUACCCAAUCGUUCCACAAUAAGUGCAAAUGAACAUAAAAAGUAGGGUUUCACUCUACGUUUUCAGGAUUGGAGCAAACUAGGGUUUUCGCGAUUUUCCGCCGAAUGAUUUUUUGGUACGGAGCAAGGCUCAAAUUUGGUGAUUAAGAGUGACUUUGAGGUGAGAAAUAAUAUGUGAUUAGGAGCAAUGUUAAAAAGUUAGUGAUUGGGAAGAAAAAAACCCUAGUACGUGUGAUUUAAGGAAAAACGGUGCGAACCGGCGUGUACCGCGCACUACCGAUUGAAUGCACCACUGGACCACCACUUUCUUAUCACAUGAGCUCAUUGAUAUUUGAGCAAAAUAUCUCCUCAUUUCCAGCUGCCUUUGACCGAAAUUUAUGGUAAAAAAUACAAGGAAAAGAAAGAGAAAAAUGAGAGGAGGUGGUGGCGCCAAGUGUCGCCACCUAAGGGUUUCUUGACCAAGAGAUGGUCUUCCUUCUUAUCCCCAAUUUUUACUCUUUCUUCUUCAUUAUUUCUGCUGGUGGCCGAGACAAGAGAGGGGAAAAGAGAGAGCAAAACCCAUCUUCCUUCAUCUUGAAUUUGAGCUACAAAGCGAGGAAACAAAGAAAGUAAACCGAUUAAAGUUACCUUUGAGUGUUGAUUUAGUGAGGUGUUGGUGAAUUUUUGAAGGGGAAAGUUAGGGUUGCCCUUAGUAGACACUAAGCAAGGUAAGGAUGGUGAUAUCCCCAAUUUUUACUCUUAAUCUUGUUUAUAUUAGCUUAGCAUCUCAAAUUUGUGGUGAAUAAUGGUUGUUAUCAUGUCUUGGGUGUUGUUUUUCCUUGUGGAUACAUGAAUUAGGGUUUGAUGAAUUGCUGCCAAACUGAAUGUAUGAUUAAUAUAUGUUGUAUCCAAUAUUGUAUAGGGGGUUUUGGUAGCAAGUGAAGCAAGAAAUGAAGAAAGUCAUCAUUGGAAUAAAAAAUUUCAGAUUUCUGGAAAAAUUUCACCCUGUUCUGUCCGGUUCCAGUUUGUGUGGUUAGAGGCCGAAUUAGGCUUGGUAUAAAACAUGAAAGUUGUAUAGAAUGAUAUUUUAUAGUUGCCUACAAAAUGUCAGGUCAAUCGGAGCAACGUAGCCUAUGAAAAGACCAAAAUACCCUCACUAUUUUAGGAUGUUUCUAGUGUUCCGUUUUAGUCAGUUCAUCCAGUUUAUCAUGUUUAUUCAUUAUGAUCCGUGCUGAUUUGGCUGAUUUCCAAAACAUAAAAUUUUUAGUACUCUGUCUUAGCUUUUCAAUGCCACCAAGAACACCUUAAACGGACCUUGGUAGGCUGAGAUAUGGCCAUUUGAAUGCAGUACGGUUAAAUAGCCGAUUAGUUGGAAUUAGGUUAUGUGAAUUGGGAAUUUGAUUAGGUUACACAGGAAAUUGGACUAAGUGAUCUUCAUGAACAUUGGAGCCCUGUGUCUUAGCUUCGAAAGCGUAUAAGUUUCACCUCAAUCCGAUAAACGGAGCCUCGGAUGUGCCCAUUCUACAAGAACCCGUCAAAACUGUCUUUUGUAAACUUCAUUUCCGCACUCGAUAUUAGCUUAAUUUUUGUUCUUGUAUUGUUUUGAGCCUAUGGAAUGGCUAUUGAAAUGAAAUUUUGUUAUGGAUAACCUUGGGUUUGAUUGAGUAAAAGGAUGAAGCCAUAAAUGGCUGGAAAAUAGGAAAAUACAAAGGGCAUGCUGCCCAAAUUUUCGCUCGAGGACUAAGUUUCUAUUUAAACUGGUAUACUUACGUUUGGUCUAUGAAACCCUAGUUAUUUUUGUCCACGGGUCCAAAUGUCCUCGUUUCACUUUAAAGUCUUUUUGUACGUUCUACUCAAUAAUUGUCGAGUUUCUUUGAUUGCACCUAAUUGUUGUGCUAGAUGAUCUGUUAUAUUCUUUCUCGUUUAAUUUAAGUUUUCUCGGUGACUGAGGAUAAUAUCCGGAAGGAUAUUUUACCCGUUGUUUUGCGUACAUAGGUGAGUGUUUCUUGUUUGUUAUAUUCUCCAUGACUUCAUGACUUGUUGUUGUUGUUUGAUGAUGUGUUAAGUGUUUUCAAGGAUUUCUAAAAUGAAUUUUCUAGGCGAGCGUGUACUUUAUCGCGCUCGACCUAAAUGAAAUGUGAAAUUUUCAAUGAUUUAACUAUUGAAACAUUAGUUGCGCAUGAUGUAAGCUUUUUGGCUGAAUUGGGCCCUGACCUUCGUUACCGAUCGACUCGAGCCAGAAGUGGAUUCGGUCGGGCGAUAUGGUGACCCUGGGUGAAUUUGGUAUACUCGAGUAUUACCUUGUAGUCCGGCCACCUCCGGAUAGGUGGAGUCCGGUCAACGUCCGGAAGGGGAUGAAUGAACGAACGCAGGCACGAGGGUUUUACUUCUCAAAAAGGAAAUUUUCAAAUAAUUGGAGGAAUAAGGGGAAAUGUCAGGGGAACGAACGAACGAACGAAUAGCUCCAUGUGAGCCCGUAUCCUUUUAAUGAAUGUAUUACUAUCGCUUUCUAUUGUAAAAAUUUUUUGGAUUAUUGAUACUCCAUGUUUAACGUAUUGAAUUGACUAUCUGACUAUGUGUUCGGAACCUCACUGAGCUUUUAGCUCACCUCUUUAGUUUUGUUUUCCUUAACAGGGGAUGGCGAGCAGGAUGAGAGCAUAGACUAGCCUAGUCUAGGUCUUUAAUUUUUUUUUGUAAUGGUUCUCGCCCUAGUGCUUGGCACUGGUUGGACGUAUAAAGGAUUGAGAACUUUUGUAUAUUCGAUCUUUAUACUCCCUUUUGGGAUGGUAAUGUAUAUAAGUUUCGCUUUAAGUUUGGAUCGCUGCCCUAUUUAUUCUUGUGAUUUAUUCUGAUUUUAAUUGAGGACUGUAGUGAACGACUGAGUCCCGGCGAGAGUUGGGCAGACGACCCGCCGAACCCUGGGGUACGCCCUAGGGAGAGGUGGGGCCGUCACAAGUAUGAUGCGAGUGUGUAAUGAGAUAAACUAUGAGUAUAGAUGAACUACAAUGACUGCUUGAAUUGACCACAAAUAGUGAAAAUUGAGUGGUUAGGGUUUCGAGUGAGAAUUGAAAUUUAUAGUGCAGUUGGCAAUUGGAAGAAGUUAUGAGGAGCAAUAAACUCGCAAUAAAAAUGUAAUGGUGUUGGUUAGAGCAAUUUCUUGGAACUUGUUCCGAAGAGAGAUGAAUUUGAAUUUAGAAAGUAAGAGAAUAUGAAGAGUUGCAUCCGAGACAAAGGGUAAAAAUGAACUGAAUAAAGAAGAGGACUUUCUUACAAGAUGCAAUUUUUGAGUGUCGGACGGCCGAACGAAGUAAAGCGUCUGACACAACCGUUUGAACCUGAACUUUCUGGAAAGAUGAUCAAGAACACUGUCAGACGUCAAUUUUAACACAUCGGACGUCCGAUAAAGAGUGAUUAGAGAAUUUUAGAAUAUUUUUUUUGAAACGCCCAAUUUUGUUCUCAAAGACACAAAUUGAUCCAGUGGUAGGGCUUUUGUGAGAAUAUCAGCAAUUUGAUCUUUUGAGCAAACAUAUUGAAUACAAAUUUCACCCUUAUGAACAAGAUCGCGAAUGAAAUGAUGCUUUAUGUCUAUGUGCUUUGUCCUAGAAUGUUGAAUGAAAUUUUUUAUCAAAUUUAUGGCACUAGUAUUAUCAUAAUACAUAGGCAUACAAUCAUACAUUAAUCCACAAUCAUUCAAUGUGUUUUUCGCCCAUAAUAAUUGAGCACAACAAGCUCCGGUGGCAACAUAUUCUGCUUCGAUUGUAGACAAGAAAACAGCAUUUUGCUUCUUACUAAACCAAGAUACCAAACAAUUUUCAAGAAAGUUACAUAUACCCGUUGUAUUUUUUCUAUCUAUCCUACAACCACCAAAAUCAGCAUCCGAGAAUCCACAUAAAGGAAAUUUAUGACACUUAGGAUACCAUAGGCCAAAAUUCAAAGUUCCUUUUAAGUAUCUAAGAAUUUUUUUGUGACAGCCCCAAUUUCCCCUAAGAGGAACCAAAGGGUUCGGCGGACUGCCUGCCCAGCUUUCGCCGGGACUCAGUCGAUCACUUCAAGCAACCAUAAGAACAUCUAACCACAAUCCAACUUAAAACAAAACGUAUAUACAAUAAUAUCUCAAGAAGAAGUACAACCGUCAAAUAUACAGAGGUUCUCAAAUCACUAUACAACUAGCCCGUGCCAAGCACUAGGGUGGGAACCAUGACAAAAGAAAACCAAGGGCUAGACUCAGCUAGUCUAUACCGGCUCUCGUCCUUACUCGCCUUCCCCUGCUAAGGAAAACAAACUAAAGAGGUGAGCUAUAAGCUCAGUGAGGUUCCGAACACAUAGGCAACAAGAAGUUCAAUGCAUUCAUUACAUGUUACCAACAAUUCAAAUACAAAAGAAAGCGAUAAACACCUUCAUUAAAAGGAUACGUGCUCACAAGGAGCCAUUCGUUCAUUCAUUCUCCUUUCGUUCCCUUAUACCUUCAAUCAUUUGAAAAUGCAUUUGUAUAUAAGUAAAACCCUCAUUCAUUCAUUCGUUCAUUCAUUCAUUCAUUCACCAGGCUCCACCAAUCUCCACCAACCUACAAGGUAAUACUCGAGUAUACCAAAACGUUCACCCAGGUCCCUAAUCGCCCGACCGAGUCCGCUUCUGGCUCGGGACGACCGGUAACAAGGGGCAGUGGCCAGUUCAGUCAAAAGGCUUACAUUCAUGCACAAAUCACAUUUCAAUCAUUCAAUCAUUGAAAUUUUUACAAUCAUCUAGGCCGAGUGCGAUAAAGUACACACUUGCCUAGAAGACUCGUUUUAACAAUCAUUGAAAGCAUUUAACAGAUUAUCAAUCAUUCAUACUAGCCAUAUAGUCAUGAAACAUAACAAACAAGGAACACUCACCUAUACACGCAAAAUAACGUCCACUUCUCAAUCACCAAUGAAACCUAAAAGUAAACAAAGAAUACAUUACAAUCCAUCUAGCAUGAUUUGGAUGAAAUCAAGGAUUACCCGACUACUCGGGAGUAAACGUAUAAAAUGACUUUUAAAGUGUCAAUAGAGCAUAUGGAUCCGUGGACGGGAAUUACUAGGGUUCAUAAACCAACCGCGAAACCAAACUCAAAAAGGUUAUGAAAUUUCCGGCAGAAAACACUUUAACCAACGACAAAUCAAAAUCCAAUAAGGUAAGCUAAGAAGUAUUGUUUCCGGAAUCGUUUAUGUAGCUCAAAAUCAAUAGACUCUAUGCCUUGAUGAAAAUCAUGAAAAUAUGGCAAAACUAUCUCACUUUCACUCUUAAAACUUCACUUAAAAGUUAUUCACUUGUGACCGAGAGAACCCUAGGUCACCCUUUAUAUUUUGGUAAACAGUAAGUAAACGUUUGGAAUUGCAACCCAAAGAGGUAUUAGGUUUUAGAAUAGUAAAAUGAUCAUUUUAUUGGCCAAGCGGAAAUAUACAGGUUCAAAUAGAAAUUUAGCCCUCGGCCACCUUUUGAAAGAGCCGGUAACAUUUUCAGUAAAUACGUCCAAUUCAUCACAAAAUACAUUCGCAAAAUUACGUUAACUUGCUCACAUUACAAGAAGAUAAACGGACGGCAUGUCCUUUGUGUUUACCUAUUUUUCAGCCAUUAAUGGCUUCAUUAUUUUCCUCAAAACAGUCCCAACAUCUCAUAUAGAAUAAUCUGAUGUCCAAAAGCCGUUCACUAGGCUUAAAGUCAUAUAAAUACAAAAAUAAAUACAAAAAUCAAGCUAAAAAACAUUUCCGGAUAAAAACAGUUUUUGACACCAUUUUGCGGUUUUGGUACCAUUGGCGCUACGAUUAUCGGAUGAAGGUGCAAGAUAUACCGUUUUGAAGCUAACAGAUAGGGCUACAAUGUUGAAGAAGGCCACUCAGUCCGGUUUGUAGUCCAACUAGGUCAAAAUUGACAUAUAUGAAACCAGAAACUCACAAACAGGUUGGCUAACCGCACAAUUGUUAAACAGCAAUAACUCAGGCUACUGAAGUCCGAUUGAAGUAUAUCUUAUGGUGUUUCGAAGCUAAAACACAACGCUACAUUUAUUAUGAAGACCUACAAGGCCAAAUCAUACAUUUUCAUGAUCAAAAAUGGGAAACUACACCAAAACCAGAAUUCUGGGCACGAAACAGGUUUCAUGAACAGUCAAGGGUAUUUUGGUUAUUUCAUAUGCUACAGUGGUCGGAUCAAGCUAAAAUUUUUCAGGAUACUAGUUUAUACCAUUGGCUACAACUUUCAUGUUUUGGCCAAAAUCUAAUUCGGUACGGAUCAUGGUGAAAAGUCACGGUCAGAUUGGGUGAAAAGACAACCCUGUUCACUGAAUUCCUACCUAGACCAGUCUGGGUAUUUCCGUCUUAUCUCAGGUUACCGAGCUUGGAUUGGGCUGAAAAUUUAUAGGCAACUAGAAAACAUCAUUCCCUAUAACUUUCAUGUUUUGUGCUAAGGCAAAUUCGGCCUCUAACUAGGUGUAACAGUACCAGGCAGAAUUGGGGAAAUGAAACCCUAACUGGAAAUUUUUGCAUUCAAGCCAGAAAUUUUUCCACUAAAACAUCUCUUUAGCUAUCACAAGUCAUUAAUUUAACAUAAUCAAGAACAAAGGAAGGAUGGCUAGACAUGAUACCUUCAAAUAUCAAGAAAGGUGAUGACUUAGGGAUUUUCUUCCAAAACAACUCCAUUAGAAGCUUUAAUCCUCCUUAAUAAGUAACUUUGAUGGAGUAAUCUUCACUUUUAAUGGUUGGAAAUCAAGAUUGGAGCAAGGGAUUGAAGUACAAGAUGAAGGAUUUUCUCUCUUUUCUCUCCUCAAAAUUCAGCCAACAAGGUGAAAAAUGAAGAAACAUUUGGUCAAAAUGGAUGUUUAGUAAAGUUAAGGAAAGUUAGUCAAAGUCCCCAUCCAAUGGUUUCAUGACACUUGUCCCUCUCAUUAAUGUCAUGCCUAGCUUUGUUUUUGUCUUUCUCACACCUGUCCACUUGGUACAUCUAAAUAUCUUAUAACACCCGAUAAAUUAAACCUAGUAUCCAAAACUUAACCUAACUGGCCGAAAUUUUCCGAAUUUUACGCACUAGCGGGUCCCACGUCCGAUAUACGCUCUUAAUUUCUCAAAAACUAACCGAUACUAGAAAAAUCAUUUAAAAACUAUAUUUACUCAUAAAAUUGAUCUAGAAAAAUUUUCUAAUAAAGAAAAUGCAGAAAACGUGAAAUUAAGAAAAGUACGGGUCCUCACACUUUUUACCGCAUUCAAGUGAGAUUCCUUUGGAAAAGACUGAAAACGAGCACACAGUAAACAUGAUAUUAGGUCUACUAGCUAUUAAGUAAAGCAAACUAUCAAUCAUACUGUCGCGACCCAUUUUUGAAAAACGAGUGAUGUGAUCAAAAAUCAGUUUUAUGGUAUUUAAAAUGUGCGUGAAAUAUGUGAAGUGUGUGAAUGUGAGAAAUAAAGGAAAAGGCCAUGAGACUUUGAAAUGCGACGGUUUGGCCAAAAUGAUAAUCUAAAAAGGUUUUUAAACAGAAAAGUAGGAGUCACCACUUGGUAUUGACUUGGGAUGUACCAAGUCACCCACAAAAAAUAGUUUUUGAAAAAAUGAAAUAAAACCUUUUUAAAUGACUCCUAGUCUACAAAAAUUAAAGAGACGAGUUUGGUGGUCACGGUUGAUAAAAGGGAAGGUAAAGACGAAGUCUAAGGCACCCUUUUACCCUAACUUAAGCUAGUUGCGUGGUUUAGUCAUAAUUUUCCUAAUUUCUAAUCAAAAGAUGUAUUGCAUUUAGAUGUGUCUAAUAUGAAUGCAAACCUAAAUCUAAUGGUUGGUUCGAAUGGAACAAAGUGUCUCUUUUGAGGCUUGAUUGGUCCUAAUCACAUGAAUUGUAAUAGCCAUUGGUGAACCCUCAAAGAGGUCACGAAUAAAUGCAAAUGAAUGCGCGAGUAACCAUGAGAAAAAUGAGAGUGUACGAAAAUGUCUUAGUGUAAAAAACGAUUGCCAGGUGUAAAUGUGCAAAGUGCAAGUGUGAAAAUUGGUGUGCAAAAUGCAAGGGUGCAAAUGAGUGUGAGGUAGAGUGUAAGGUGCACGUGUGCAAAUGAGUAUGUAUAAAGUGUAAAUGUUUAGAUGUGAGAGAAGGUAAAGUAAUGUGAUAGUGUGUAAAAUGAUAGAGUGGAUAAAGUGAUAGUGUGCAGAGUGAGAGUGUAUAAGUGAGAGUGUGUGAAGUUAUAGGAGGUAAAGUGGUAGUGUGUAAAUGGUAAUGUGCCUUAGAAAUGCAUGAGCCCUAAAGGAACGCAAGCAAAACAGGUACGGGAAGACUCUAAAUUGUGACUUUUGAUUUGCCUUUUUGGUUAGAAAGGAAACUAGUGUGUUAAGGCUAUGUGUAGCCACACUCGUCCGUUUUCCUUACCAAAAGGGUAACUCCCUAACCUAGGCAAGUAAAUGACCCUAAUAACUAAAAUGAAAUGCAAGGUCCUAAAGAUUGUGGGUCAAAUACGGGAAAAGGGUUAAGGCUCACUAAAAAAAGGAAAAUGAAUGAAAUGUAGUGGAGACAUGCGAGUAUGUACUAGCAAAGGGCGGCCCUAUUGGGUCUAGUAGUGGACUAGCCCUUAACUAACGUUCUCUCAUAAGCAUUGGACUUGUAAGAGCUCGAGGGGAAGACCAUGACUAGCAUUGGACUAGCCAUGAUAACGUACAUUCCAUCCACAUAAUCAGAUAUAAAUACUAAAGCAAAUAGACAUGCAAAGCACAUAGUUUCACAUAGCACGUAGCACAUAAACAUGGUUAUCUAGAUGCAUUCAAGUGCCUUUCAAAUAUAAAAGAUAAAUAAAUGAACUCCUAAUUAUUACAAAUUUAGCAUUCAAGUGUCUUUCAAAUGAUUACAUUAAAAUAAACGCACAAAAUUAAAGCAAAAAUUAAAUAAUUAAAGAGAUAAAUGAAUGAAAAUGAAAUAAAACAUUCAAAAUCAUGCAAUGACACACAUAAGUGCACGUAGGGUCAAAUAAAAUCAAAAUAAGGGAUAGGGUGUACCUCCUUGGAGCUAGCACCCUAAGGAAAUGUAAUUACUCUCUUGUUUACCCUCCAAAACAAUAAAAUGAUCAGGGUACCAAUUUAUUUGAGAAGAACUAAAGAAUAUGCAAACACAAACUCUCUUGGUCAUAAAGACCUUAAAAUUAUGAUUUAAGUGCAUUUUAAACAAAGCAUGGUGGUUAAUUGAAGCAAACAAGCAAUGAAGUUGCAAAAUUAAAGCUGCCAAGGACCAAAUUGUAAAUAUCAGAAAGUUGUUAAGGCCUAAUCAGAAUUAUAUGAAAAUGUAGAGGUCAAAUUGCAAUUUUUCAGAUUUAUUCAUGCAUGCUUUUCGCAGAAAGCAUUUUCUUCACAGAAACUCUUCUUCAUCACUAAUUUCUAUAAUUUUGCAGCAUAUACAACCGAGGCAACUUAGGCCAUCUCAAACCAAAUCCUCAAAUUCAUUAACCCAUUCCAUUAAGCUUCAAAACACAACACAACAGGCAGGAGACAAACCCUUGAAGGUCAUCAAAGAACAAAAAUGGAAGAGCAUGCAAUCAGGACGUUUUCCGCAACAAUACUUCUUAUGAAAUUCAUGCUAGACGCAAACAACAUCCAAUCACACAUCAAACAUUCAAACCAAAACAACAAGACCUUACAACUCUAAUCAUUGAAAUUUAACCAAGAUGCAAGCUACAGAGACCCAUCGAAAGGAUGCAAAAACAAGAACGAAAGCAGCAAAACUUUUGGCAAUUUGGACAAAUAAUUGUCUUCUCCACCGAGCUAACAUUAGUUAUUAUCUCAACUUUCUUUUGGUCAACAAUACCAGGAAUUUGGUUUCAAUUCCAACAAUUCCCAAUAGACAAUGAACUCACAACACUCCCUCUCAUGACAUGAAUUCGGAUUAAACAUAGAGAAACAUAGAGAAAGAAAUUACGACAGAAAAGGUACAAAGAACCAACACAUCAAAGCCUCUCAAAACACUGCUUUUAUUAGAAAAAAUUAGCUAUUAUGUUCGGACAAACAAUAAGCCAACCGAAUGUUCAUUUUCUCACCCGUAAAACAUAGUCAAAAUCAUCUUCACGUGGAAUUCUCAAUUGGCAUUUUAUCAAACACUAAAUGGGCAUGAAAAUUUCAGCUAUUCCCUACUCCAAUAAAGUCACGGCUAACCUCAAAAUUGUCAGUGAAAUUUCAACCCAAUCAACAAAUAAAGCAGUAAUCUUUCAGAAAAACAUAGCCAGUCCACCAAAAAUUACGAUAAAAAGAAGAAUAGAGAGCUUCAAGCGUCCAUGCUUAAAAAACUGAAAUUUGAGGGAGGGAGACAGCUCACAAAGCUCUGCAGGUGGUGAUUGGCAGCGAUGAUAGUUGAUUCCGGUGGGAUGGUGGCGGCUCCGGUUCUUGGGCAGGCAGUUGGCCACUCGUUGUUCACGCUGGAGAAGAAGGGUUGUGGCUACCUGGUGGCUGCGAUGGAGAUUGCGCGCGGUGGUGGCGAUGGCGGACAGCAGCAGCAGCGGAUGCGGACUGGAGGUGGCUUGGGCAGAUAGCGUGAGGAAGAGAGGAGAUCUAGGGUGGGCGGCAGUGUGUGAAAGAAGGAAAGGGAGAAAACAGGGGCAGCCUCUUCUUCUCGUUUUUUCCUUUCCUAGAAAAUUUCCUCCUGCCCGAGCUUUUUCUUCCUCCUUGCUAACCCCUUGUCCGCCGUCCCUUUCACCCUUUUGCCUUGUCAUCUUUUCCUCUCUCGCCUAAGCCUCGCUCUCAAAGCUCUUACUUUCUCCCUCUUUUUUUUCAGCUCUUCAACUCUCUAGCCUUUUCUUGUUCUUUCUCUCUCCGUUUCUCCAACCUCAGCCGCCAACUCCUCUUCUAAACCUCUCUCAGCCGUCCCCUUCCCUUUUUUUUCCUUUCCUCCUCUAGCCACUGUCCCUUUUCUUUCCUUUUUUGCCUGGCCUUUUUUUCUUCCCCCGUGGUUGUUUUUUUUUUCUUUUUUCCAACCGGCCCAUCCAAUCUUUUUCUUUUUGAUUCUCUGAUUUUUGUUCCCCCAAAAUUCCUUAAGCCACCAAGUGUCUAGACACCUAAUCCCUUAGGUGUUGUGUUGUCCAAAACACAAAGGGACACUUGUCCCCAUUGCAUGCCCCCCACUUGUCAUUUUUACUUCUUUCUUUUUUUUCUUUUUCUUCUCUUUUUUUCUUUUUUUCUUUUUCUGAAAUAAGCAAAAAUUAAAACAAAAAUCAACUAUAUAUAUAUAACCAAAAUUUUGGUGUCUACAUAUACUUCUAUACUUCUUUUCAACAACUUUUAUACCUUCUUCACCCUUGUCAAACGUGGUAGAUGUGCGCAUAGGUGUUCCAACUUGUUUUGAGUCUUCCAUUCCAAACAUUUUGAGUAGCUCCUUGAUAUAUUUUGCUUGAUUAAUGAACGUUCCUUCUCGGGUUUGAACCAUUUGGAGUCCAAGAAAGAAAUUUAAUUCUUCCAUCAUGCUCAUUUCAAACUCCUUUUGCAUAAUUGUGAAAAAAAUCCUUGCACAGGCUCUCAUUAGUAGCACCAAAUAUAAUAUCAUCUACAUAUAUUUGCACAAUUAAAAGAUCAUGUGAAUUUUAUUUAGUGAAAAGAGUAGUAUCUACAAUGCCUCUUUUAAAACCAUUUUCAAUAAAAAAAUCACUUAAACGUUCAUACCAUACCCUUGGAGCUUGUUUUAAUCUAUAUAAAGCUUUUGAGAGUUUAAACAUAUGAUUGGGAUAAACCUCAUUUUCAAAACCAGGAGGUUGAUCAACAUAUAUUUCUUGAUCAAUAAAGCCAUUUAAGAAAGCACUUUUAACAUCCAUUUGAAAUAAUUUAAAAUUCUUGAAACAUGCAAAGGCCAAAAACAUCUUAAUUGAUUCUCGCCUAACUACGGGUGCAAAUAUUUUAUCAAAAUCUAUUCCUUCUUCUUAAGCAUAUCCCUUAACUACAAGUCUAGCCUUAUUCCUUACUACCUCACCUUUAUCAUUUAAUUUAUUUUUAAAGACCCACUUUGUGCCAAUGAUAGGAUGAUCUUGAGGUUUUUCAACUAAGGUCCAAAUCUUGUUUCUUUUAAAUUGAUUUAGUUCCUCUUCCAUAGCUAAAAUCCAAUUUUCAUCUUUCAAGGCAUCAACAAUAUUUUUGGAUUCAAAAUGAGAGACUAAUACAAAAUUAUCCAUCAAUUGUUUAGAGGAGGAACGAGUUCUGACCUUCUCGGAUGGAUUACCAAUGAUGAGCUCCUUAGGAUGGUUUUGAACAAAUUUUCAAGCUCUUGGAAGAUCGUUAGGUGUACUAACAUUUUUGUCAUUGUCUUUCAGUGCUGGACUGUCUUGAGAAUCAUUUUUCUUUGAGUCAUUUUCUGGUGAAGCAAUGUCUUGGUCAUUGAUUGUGAACUUCUUUAGUCCUUCUUAAACACCUGCAUCAUCAUUUUCACCACAAUUUUUUAAAAUAAUACCAUUAGAUUCAUCAAAAGUAAUAUGUAUACCUUUCUCUAUAACCGGAGUCAUUCGAUUGUAGACUCUAAAACCUCUCUUAUUCUCACAAUACCCCAAGAAAAUUUCUUCAUCAGAUUUUUUAUCAAACUUACCAAGAUGUUCCUUGAUAUUUAAAAUAAAACAUUUGCAACCAAAAACUUUGAAGUAUCCAACAACAGGCUUUUUAUCAAACAUCAACUCAUAAAAGGUUUUGUUCAAGAUUGGUCUUAAAAGAAUUCUAUUCAUAGUAUAGCAAGCUGUAUUUAUGGUUUCAGCUCAAAAAUAUUUUGGCAAAUUGUAUUCACUUAACAUGGUUCUAGUAGUCUCUUGAAGGGUUCUAUUCUUUCUUUCAACAACCCCAUUUUGUUGGGGAACUCUUGCAAUUGAAAAUUCAUGUGUAAUUCUAUUGUUAUCACAAAAUUCUGGAAAUCCACAAAAACGAAAUUCUGAGCCAUUGUCACUUAUGAUCUUGAUGAUUUUCAACCCAAUCAGAUUUUGAACCUUUGCAAACAAUGAAACAAAGUUUUUGAAAGUAUCAUCUUUGUGUGUAAGAAACAUCACCCAAGUGUAUCUAGAACAAUCAUCAACAACAACAAGGCAAUAUCUUUUGCCACCCAAACUGGUAGUUUGCGUAGGACCAAAUAAAUCAAGAUGCAAAAAUUCCAAAGAUUUUGUGGUAGAAACACAUUUCUUGAGUUUAAAAGAAACUUUGACUUGUUUUCCAAAUUGACAAGCAUCACAGAUUUUAUCCUUUCCAAAUUUGAUUUUUGGCAACCCCUUAACAAGUUCCAUUUUGGAAAUCUCUUUUAGCAAAUCCAUGUUGAAAUGACAAAACCUUCUAUGCCACAACCAAGGGUUUUCAUUUGUAACUUUAAGACAUUUAAGACUAGAAGACUCAACAUUUUUCAGAAUAGCAACAUAAAUGUCAUUAGCUCUUUUUCCUUUGAAAAUAGUGUUGAAGUUUGAGUCAAGAACAAGAUAUUCAUACUUUUUAAAUAAUAUAAACAGAUUUUUAUCACACAAUUGACUAACACUUAAUAAGUUAUAGCACAAAUUGUCAACUAAAAGAACAUUGUGAACAAAGGUUUGACCAUUUUUACUAACAUCACCAAUUCCAACAGUUUUGGCUUUGUUAUCGUCUCCAAAAGUUACUUUUUCGCUUGCUUUUGGCUUGAGCUUGAUGAAUUGUGAUGGAUCACCAGUCAGAUGCCUUAAGCAUCCACUAUUUAUGAACUAUUUUGAUUCUUUGAUAAUGUUCACCAAGUUCACCUCUUCAUCACCAAUGACCAUGAAAGUCAUUUGGACAGAUUCCUCUUCUUCUUCGACUUCACCUUUUGAGUUGCUGUCAUUCCAAGUGAUCUGAAAGUUGUUAAAUUUUGAUUUUCGUUCAGUUUUUUCUUAUUUUUUUUCUUUAUUGGACACUCGCUCGCAUAGUGUCCAGGUUGACCGCACUCGAAGCAUUUGUUAGUUUGCAUUUUAUUGAACUCUUGCUUCCCUUUGUUUCUUGAGCUAUUGAACUGAUCUGAGAAUGAAUUACUAGGUUCUCCUUUUCUGAAUCUCCUCUUGUUGAGAAUUCUCUUGAAGUUUCUUGUGAUGAGUGUAAUAUUACUAUCAUCAGCUUCCAGAUCAUCUCCAUCCAAGGAGGUUGAGUCAUCUUCAUCUUGUGAGGCUUUUAAAGCAAUACUCUUCCUAACCUUUGCAUCUUCUUCCUCCUGCACCUUGGACUUGAGUUUCACCUCAUAAGAAAUUAGAGAAUUAAUAAGAGAUUCAAUAGGCAUGGAAUUGAGAUCUCUAGUUUCUUCAAUGGCAGUCACUUUGCUCUCCUAAACCUUGGAUAAAGUGUUUAGAAUUUUCCUGUUUUUCUUGCCUAGAGAAUAUUCCUUUUCCAGCACUUCUAAGUCUUUAAUAAGAUCAUUGAAUCUACAAUAUAUCUUAUCAAUAUUUUCAUAAGGUUCCAUCUUAAAAGAUUCAUACUUAGUGACCAAAAUAGACUUUUUUUGUUCUCUCACAUUCUCACUGCCUUCAUGGAUUUCUUUAAAUUUAUCCCAAAUCUCUUUUGCAGAUCUACAGCCUUUGACUCUAAUAGAUUCAUUUGAAUCUAGAGCACUGUAUAACACAUUCAUAGUCUUGGCAUUCAAAGUGAGGUGGGUUCUAUCAUCACCAGUCAACUUAUUUCUAGUUUUUGGUCUUGGUUUAUGAGUGACUUCAUCAACAAUAGAGGUACCAUAUGGACCUUUAUUGACAAUAAACCACAACUCGAUAUCAAUAGAUUGUAAAAAGAUUAUCAUCCUUUCCUUCCAACUCACAUAAUUUGAUCCAUUAAACAUUGGGGGUCUAGUGACGGAUUGUCCUUCAAAAAAUAUGGCAUUGUUGGUUGUCAUUUUUACUCCAAAGCCGAUUGAAUUUAAUCUCUAGGAGACCAAGCUCUGAUACCAAUUGUAAGGAUCGAAAACAACCUAAGAGGGGGGUGAAUUAGGUAGUAUAAAAACUGGCUAAGUUGUGAGUCACUUUUUAAGAAUUUGACCUUUUUUUCUAAAAGAUCACAUAAUGGAGUAAUUGAUAAGAAAGUACAAGUGCUUGUGAGUAGAAGAGAUGAGCAAUUUAUAUAUCAAGACAGUAAGUAAAAGAGAUAGAGAAUCGAACCAAAUACCAAACUCCUCUUGAGUUUGAAUAUCACUUUAUAGAGCAAGCUUUUUCAAGUUGAUCAACUUACAACUAAUUUCUUGUGUACAAGGGAAGGAUCACUUCCUCCUUGCCCCCAAGCCACACUUGAUCAAGUAAAGAAGUUUUACUAUCACUCGGAUAACCCUCAUAAAACUACACUAUUGAAGUAAUUGAAUCACACUAGAAAAACUUAUCGAAAAUUACACAACUAAGAGUACAAAUCCUCUUUGAAGAGUAUUUUACCACUAAAAUCACUCUUGACUGAUGUAGUCUCAAUGUGUAAAGUUAUUUUGAAGUUGUUGACUUUGUUCUAUUUAUAUGGGACCAAACAGUUUCUCAAUUAAUGCUUUCAACGGAUAGAAGGUAGUUGAAGAGUCAACUAGCCGUUGGUAGUGUCAGACGUUCGGUAGACCAACUUCUUGCAUUCGAACGUAGGCAGUGAGCUCAAGAAAUUUUCUUGAAUUAUUUUGGACAUCCGGUACCUUCAAUCUAUGCGUCUGAAGGUAGGAGGUGAAACUGUGAAUUCUUCUUUAAUUCUUUUCGAGCAUCCAAUGCCUCCAAGGUUUUGCAUCCGAAGUUUCACGACACUUGUCGAACGUCCGAUGCUCUGAUGAUGUGCGUCCGAUCAAGGUCAGUGAGUUUAGAGGGAAUGACUCAAUAUCUUCAGACGUCCGAGGGUGAAGUUCUUCAUGCGUCCGAAGUUACGCAAAGGUUGUCAGACGUCCGAUCCAGUUUUCUUGUGCGUCCGACAGCAGCUUUAGUAUUCUUUGUGUUUAAUUUUUGAACCUGUUUUGCUCCAUUUCUGAAAGGGUCUAUUGAGAGAACAUUAGUAACAUCCAUUUAUUUUGUAAUUAUCAAAACCUACGGACUGAGAUAAACAUAAAAUUGAUUGCUGUUUUGAGAAAAAAAGGAUGCUUACUAAUGAGGGUAAAAUAAUUUCUUACUUGCAGGGCUGCUAUAAAAGAGACUAAUAAGUGGCCUUCCCAAGAUUCCAACUUCUUUCUCUGAGACAAGCACCAUGACCGCCUUACCUUAAUCUUGCAGCAAUUGAAUAAUUGCUUUGGUUUUGGAUCUCCUAGCAACUGCUUAAUUGCCAACCACAAAAUAAGUUUAUUUUCUAUUUCUACAUCAAUAGACUAAGUGUUAUAUGUUGAGUAAGUUCCAGAUUUUGUGUAAUAUGUAAAAAAUAUUCACUAGACAGUCAACAAACAAAAAAAUCAAAUUUCCCCUCUUAAUAGGUCUAACGCUCCCACGCAUUGCGUGGGAAGCAAUUCCAUAGUAUAUACACAUAUACAUAUACAAAUAUACAUAUAUACACAUAUACACAUAUAUACAUACAUACAUAUAUACAGAUAUACAUAUGUACAUACACACACACACACAUAUAUACAUAUAUAUAUGUGGAAAAAUGACCAGUUCCAUUCCUCAUAUUUCACAAAAAUAUUCUUUCAUUCCUCACUUUUAAAAUAAAGUGAGUUUGCCCUUGGCAUUUAAAAAUUAAAACUAUUACAUCUUUGAACUCAACUUUCAAUCUGAAUCUAACCACCCAACAACCCGAUUACAAACUUUAGGGGUAUAAUUAGUAAAUCACUUAAUUAACUCAACUUGAUAUUCACAUGAAACUUAAUGAACAUAAAAAGGAGAAAUAAAAUAUUAUUACACAAAAAGAAGGAUUAAUCUUUUAUAUAUUGUCAUUGUAUAUAUUGAUGGGUCUAGAUAACUAUUACAUCAUUUCAAUUUAAAUUUAAAUACCGAACUUGUAUGUAUGAUAUACAUCUAGAUUCACAAGUGUAUGCACUAACGGUUUAUGAAAAGAUUUACCCAAAAAAGAAAUCCUACUAUUUCAAGACAAAGGAACGACCUUUUUAUGUUAUAAUUUUUUUGAUUUUUGCUUUCUUUGUUCAAUGAAUGUCAUGUGAAUGUGAUGAAAUUGUCCAUGUGAUUCAUCAAUUUUAUCCCCAAAAUGUGUUACCAAAUUAUUGGAUAGCUUGAUUCAAAUUUUAUGUUAUAAUUUUUUUGAUUUUUUCUUUCUUUGUUCAAUAAAUGUCAUGUAAAUGUGAUGAAAUUGUCCAAGUGAUCCAUCAAUUUUAUCCCCAAAAUGUGUUACCAAAUUAUUGGAUAGCUUGAUUCAUAUUGAAAGUUGGGUUCAGGGAUGUAACAGUUUCAAUUUUUAAAUGUUAGGGAUGAAUUUGCUUCAUUUUAAAAGUGAGGGAUGAAAAAUAUAUUAUUGUAAAACAUAAGGGAUGAAACAAGCCAUUAUAUAUAUAUUGCAGAAAAGGUUUUUAGCACAGUUAAAUCAAAUUGCUUCCAACUCAUGCUUUCAUUUUAUAGAAUUUUGAUUUUUUUUAUUGUUAUAUAUAUCCUUUUAGGAUCCGGUAACAACUGUUCUGAAUAGUGUAAUAUUUUUUGAAUGGAGUUUUACUUUACGUGAACUAUUUGUAAAAUUUCACAACAGAGACACAAUUAUUAUGUAUAGGAUCCAUAUAAACAGUAAUAGAAUAUCACAUCUCUAUUGUAAGGAUGUACAAAUAGUUCAUUUACAGUUACAAAACGUUCAAAAAAAUGUUACACCGUCUAGGGAUGGUUGUUGGAUCUAUCGUCUUUGCCUGGCACACCAUCCUUUCAUGUCUUUUGGAUUCAAAAAAUAAGAAUUGGCUCCACUUAUAUAGGAAUUUGAUUUAAAACCCAUUAAUGUUAGGGUAAUUAAAUAGGAAAGAUCACCAAACUAAAAGUAAAAAAAAAUGAGCCACUUAUAUAGGAAUUUGGUUUGAAGUUUAUUAAUGUGAGAGCAAAUAAAGAGGAAACAUCACCAAACCUACUAAAAGUUAAAAAGUAAAUAAUAUAUUUUAUCCUUCAAUUUAGUAAUUCUAACUAAAAGGGCAAAUUAUAUAGAAAACAAUAAGGAAAUAAUAUUCAUUGUCAUGGAUUUAAAAAAUUAAGAAUGGUUCCAUUCAUGAAGUCUAAAUUAUGAAAUCACUAAAUAAAAACAAAGUACUACUAGCCUCUCAACAUCAAAUUUUUUUUUUGAAAUCUUUAGUGUUUGAUGAAAAAAAAUAUUUCAACACCAAUUAUAUCAACAAUUAAAAAACAAUAUAGUUUAAGGAAAAGAUAUAGAACAUUUGACCCUAAAAUUUGUCUACUUAAUUUGCAUAUAUCUUAUCCAAAUUUGACCCUAAUUAAAUUUGAAUAAGAGUACAAAACCAAAACGCUAAGAAUAGCCCUAGGUAUUUUGAUUAUUUUAUGUAUUCUUAUUUUUUCAUCAUAUGUAAAUAUGUAAUUGCUAUGUCAUACAUACAUACAUACAGAUAUAUAUAUAUAUUAUAGUAGUUAGGGGUAUUAUAAGAUAUUAUUAGUUUAUUGUUUGCAAUUUUAGAUACCAAUACUUGCAACCAUUACGAUCAAUUUUCAAUUUUACAUGGAUUUCUUAUUAUGAGAGGUAAAGCUAAAUAUGUUGUAAAAAUGUUAAACCAAAUUGUAGGUUAUGGUUUUCUCUUGCUUCAAAUUUCAUCAUUUCAAUUUUAUUUUGAAAGUACAAAUAUAAGUAUAUUUGAAGUGUAAAACGAAAUUGCAAGUUAUGUAAAUUUUUUCUUUUGCUUUAGAUUUUAACUCUUCAAUUUGGAGGUUGAAUAUGGAUUCAACUACAAAAUUUCACCUUUCAAAAUUGAAAUCAUUCAAUCCAAAUUUAAUAUGAAAAUAACUAAAUUUGGUGUUGUUAUACUUUUGUAUUGAGUUUUAAUUUUUAUAUUUUACUCACAAAAUUUACUUUAAAAUUGUGUAACAUUGACAAUAUGUUAAGUUAUACUUUGAUUAAAAAUGGAGAAAUUAUGACUCUCAUACCAAUAGAUAUGAGAAAUGUGGAUUGUAAUUACUACUAUUUAAAAAAGAAUACCUUGAAACACACAUCAUAUUAUAUACACAUGUAUAUGUGUAAUUCUCAUAAGUAUAUACGAGAAAACUAUAGAUUUUUGAUAGCACACUAUGUCUCAAAUAAAAAAAACUAUGAUAUUACUUUAUUCUGGUUAGCCUAGUAGAAGAAAAAGGGGAAAGUAGAUGGAAGGAAAAUGAAGCACGUUGGGUAUGGAGGACAAAGAUUAGUGGCUAUCCAAUGGUUUGGAAGAAUGGUGGGUGGCGAAAGGGAUAGGAAAUUGGGCAACAGGGAUUGGAAGUUAGAGACUAGCUAGAGGCGGAGGAAAGGGAAUAGUGAGGAGUUAAAUAGUGGUGGGAAAAGUAAAAGAAAAAAGGUGAACUACAAGGUUGGGUGGAGAGAGGGGGAAGAAAGAAAGUAAUUGUGGGAAUAUUACAGAAGUGGUAAAAAAUGAUAGGAAAGAUGGCACAUGGUAGUAGAAGCGAAGGUCAAAGGAGAUAGUGGAUGGCCAACUGGCACGUAAGAGGGGAUGGAAAUAAUGAUAUGAUAGUUUUUAAUAAUUAUAAAAACUCAAACAAUACAUCUUAAAAGAGUUUUUUAAUCUAUAUUUAAGUUUAUGAAGAACACUAUUCUAUAAGUACUUAAUAAUUUUAGUGUUACAAGAUGGGAGAAAACAUUCUUUCUAAAAUCAAGGAAAAUGAAUUAGUUAUAAUUUAUGUUUUUUAUAUUAUAAAUUUUGAUAUAUGGGUAUAACCUGAUAUCUUUUGUCAACUAUUGAUAAAUAGGUUUACAAUUGCUCUAUCGUGUAAAUCAUUAUAAAAUAAAUUAUUUUAUUCAAAUUGUUAUCAUAUAUUGACAAACAAUAGGUAAAUAAAUUUUGGUUUCAACUUAUUUAAGAUAUUAAAAUUAAGAAAGUCCAUUUUGUACUCACGAAGUAACUUUUUUUUGAACAUGUUAAGCAUAAAUUUCUUUGAAAUUUUGAGCCUUUUUCAUAUACUUUAUCCUAUAUUACAAUAUACAAGUGUGUGUCUAUAUACACACACACAUAAGAAUCUAGUGAAUGCAAGUGUACACUUUAGUGAUCUGAAUAUACACAUUUGAAUUUAUGUAUGUGCACACAUAUACACUCAGAUUAUGAGUGUUUUUUUUUUAUAGAAAUAAUAUGUUUUAUUACCACAACACAAACUUACAAUCGGAGCAUAGAACCAGUCAUAAUGACAGUCCUUUAACAUAUCUAAGAGAAGGGAAACCUAACUUAUCCAUCAUGACUUCCCCUCCAGCUAGCUGUGGAAAGGUGUCUGACUGGUCAUAGACCUUAACAGGGUCAUGCGGGUGCAAAAUACCUACAUUAGCUAGUAUACCUACAUUGCUGUAUCAUCAGCAAUCAACCAUAUUUGGGUUACUUCUCUACGAAUGUGCCAAGGACACUGGAACGGCUGUUGUAAGAUGCCUACUAAAACCAACGAGUCAGAUGUACUCGAACCUGUGUGUACCCUUUAUGAAGGCAAAGGCGGAGACCCGUUAGAAGAGCCAAUGCCUCAGCAAGCAGACUAGUAUUGACCCCCAAGUAAGCUGAGUACCCCCCAAUACCUGACCAUUUGAAUCCCGGAGUACUCCACCCCCACCACUAGCACCUGGAUUGCCCUUGGAACACCCGUAUGUAUUAAGUAACACUAACCCCCUACCUGCUGCCUGCCAUCGGACUAGUCUGCACUACUGUAAGGGCUUGUGUUGGGAAAUUGAGUCAAAAACUGACUAAAAGUCAAUGCCACCGUCAACUUUUGGAACUUACUCGUGACCACCUCGGAGACGUCCCGAAGGAUGGCAUGACAGAUCUCCCCACACGAUAGUUGGAGCCCUUCCCAUACUGCUGUACUCCUCGCCUUCUAGAUGUGCCAACAUAUAAAGUUUGGGAGAAUAGAAACCACAAGUCGUCUCUGCGCAUCAGACUGUGAGGAAAUCCAUUAAGCAACCAAUCUAUCGCGCAGUGGAACUUGAGGCAUAAAUAUUCCAUAAGUGGCUCCAAAGGAAUCCUAGAUCGCCAUUGCUAGCUGUCCCGUUGCAAAAGGUGCUCAAUAGAUUCCCCUUUAGACAUAAGGCAACAAAAGCAUUUUGACAGACUUUGGACACCAAACUUACCCAGGAUGUCAUCCAGCAGUAGCCUUCUCAGCAGAAGUCGUAACAUAAAGAAUGACACUUUCAAUGGGAUCUGGGGAUGCCAAAUGCAAGAAAAGAGCCAAGAGGCAUUCUAAGCUUGCCUUACCUCCUGGAAGGCGGAAGAUAAGGAGAAAUGCCCAGAAGUCAUUGGCAUCCAGACAACCUCGUCUGGCCGCUUACCCUCAGGGGUUGGAUGCCAUAAGAUCAAAGCCGUGACGUCACUUGGGAAAUAUUGGGCUAGUAACAGUGAAUCCCACCUCUUGUCUCUAAGAAAAUCCCUAAAUGUCAACGCCCCGUUGAUCGGAGCUCUAUGAAAAAGAGCUCUAGUACCCAACCAAUUGUCAUACCAGAAGUCGCAAGUUCCCGCAUAUACCAACCACUGCAUGGAUAAUUCCGCUUGUCGGCUCACAUUGACCAGCCGUUUCCAUGUAGGCGAUGACCCUACACUAUACUCCACUUAGCAGGGAUGACAGUGUCGACAGUACUUUGCUCGUAAAAAUGUGGCCCAGAGUUAAGAUCCCGUGCGAAACUUCCAUCAUAACUUGGAAGAGAAGGUAGUAUACACAUCCCAUAGCAAUCUGAAACCCACUCCCCCCUCAUUUUUCGAAAAGCACAACUGAUCCCAUCGGAUCCAAUGAUACCUGGUGCCCAUCUCAUUCAACCCCCACAAGAAAUUCGAGCAAACCUUUUCGAUGACGUUGAACACUGAGGCCGGGAUUACCGAAGCCGAUAGUAAAUGCAAAAGAAUAGCUGAUAGCACAUGUUUGAUGAGCACGAUCUUGUCCCCCUGAGACAGAAACUUGGUUUUCCCACGACAUGAUUCGCCCAAGUAUAGUUUGACUCACCUCUCCAUAAUAAGCGGCCUUGCUCUUGCCAAAAUGCAGUGGAAACCCUAGGUAACAAAAUAGCGCAUGCUAUCUUGGGAAGCCAGUGAUAUGCUCAAUUACCCUCUGUCGGGCCAUCGAGACAGAGGGGUGGACCACAUAACUACUCUUGUGCCCAUUCACCAGCUGGCCCGACGAUUUUUGGUACAAGUCCAGCACCCGAACGAUAUUGUGUAAGUCAAGAGCCGAACCAUUAGCAAUUAUUAGCACGUCAUCAGCGAAGGUCAGAUGCAUUACUGGAGGGCACUCCAGAGGAACUUUGAACCCCUGAAAGCCUGCCUGAAGAACUAGGUCGUUUAAAGUCCUGGAAAGGACCUCUGUCCCAAUCACAAAUAAUGCGGGCGACAAUGGAUCCCCCUGAUGAAGUCCCCUACUGGACUUAAAGUACCCAUAGGAAGCUCCAUUGAUGACAACUAGAAAACCAUACAUUGGAGAUCAGUUGCCAAACAUUGUCAAUAACUCUUUCCUCAAACCCGAAGUGCCGCAUAACGUUCACAAGGAAUAUCCACGACACCCUAUCAUACGCCUUGGUCAUAUCCAACAUCAAAGCUACAUUCCUACCCCUCGAAGACCUGCGCAUCCUCGAGAAUAAUUCUUGAGCGAGAAGGUAGUUCUCUGUGAUGUUUCUGCCCUUAACAAAACCAAUUUGCUGGAGCGACACCAGGCUCGGCAAGAGAGGGGCCAUUCUAUCUGCCAAUAACUUGGACAAUACUUUGUUGAAGAAAUUGCACAGGCUAAUCGGUUUGAAUUUCGAGAAAUCUGAGGGUUCGGUCCUUUCAGGAGUAAGAUAAUGGAGGUAGACGUAAUGAAGCAAGGUAGCUCAGCCCAACAGAAGAAACUCAAAAUUGCAUUAUAAACAUCCUGACCAAUCACCUCCCAAGCAAAAGUAAAAAACCUCCCCAUGAAGCCAUCCGGGCCAGCUGCACUUUCACCGUCCAUUGCAAAAAUGAUCUUACGCACCUCCUUGAUAGAUGGGUCAGCCUCCAAACGACUAUUCUCCUCUGUCGGGACAAUGGAUGGGAUCACAUGCAACAGGUCUAUCGCUGCCAGCAGGCUCAGAGAAUAGCUCCAAAAAAUAACGUACAGCUUCGUUUGAGAUGUCCUCGUCCGUUUCCACCCAAUCACCAUGCGCAUCUCUAAUCCUACAGAUUACUCCUUGCACCCGCCUCUGCUUCAGGAUAGCAUGAAAGAACUUGGAAUUGAAAUCACCGUGACGUAUCUAUUUCACCCUAGCCUUCUGCAUCCAGAAUUGCUCUUCCAUUGACAAAGCAUGAUUGAGCUGAACCUGAGCCAUAUUAAGCUCCACCUGCGCAACAUCACCCUCGUUCUCCAACCUUGCCUUCGCCCGAUGCACUGCAAUUUCUACCUCAUGCGAAGCAUCAAAUAUGUUCCCAAACGUAUGCUUAUUCCACUCUUGGAUGGCUCGUCGCAUGUAACAGUUUGGAGCACAAAACCUUCAUGGGGGAACCCUAUUGCUCCCACUGCCAAGCUGUGUGAAUGACAUCCAGUAGGGAGGCCUUGGAUGUCCAAAUAUUAAGAAAAUGGAAGGCAUGCAGCUUGUUAUCUGUACGGGAGGCAAAGGAGAUUUUUAGCGGUGCAUGAUCGAAAAGAUGCCUUGCUAAGUGAGAUAUAGAAAUGGUUCAUGGUAAAUCUGAGCACUCCACAUUAACUAGUAGUCUGUCCAAUCUCUUCCAGAUCCUAGCCCUAUUGUGGCGAUUGUUGCACCACGUGAAGUUAGGGCCAGAAAAUCGCAUGUCAAAUAUCUCAGCAUUCUCCAUAAAGGACAUAAGCUCUAAUCCCUCCAAGUUGCCAAAAGGAUGGCCACCUUUUUUUACCUGGGGAGAUAUAACCACAUUGAAAUCCCGGCAGAUACACCAUGGUUGGGAGCAGGGCUUCUCAAGCAAUAAGGCUUGCCACAGCUCCCAUCGCUCUUCCAAUGUGCAUUUGGCGUGCACAAAAGAGAAGCGCAAGGCAUGUGGUAACCACGGGUGGUGCAACAAGAGUGAGAUGUGUUGGGAAGAGUUCCCAGCAAUAGAACAAAUAAACGAUAAUCUAGAAAACACCCAAAUGUCUUCCGACAAGUUUACCAUUACAGCAUCAAAAGAUAAUCUUAAACGAAUGGAUUCUAUGUUAACAACAUCUAGUUUUGGUUCACAAAUAGCCACCAACUGAAUAUUAUGUAAACGAAUUAAUUUUUUAAGUCUUCUAAAAUUAGGAGGUUUAGAGAUUCCUUUAAUGUUCCAAAAGAUUGCAUUAAUCAUGGGGAAGAACCUGGAACGAGUUUUUGGAUGAUGUUGACGCUGACCGUAGCUGCCUGUCCGAAGGAAAGAUCGCCCGUGUACCCUUCAACUUCACUUGUUUGAAGCCUUUCUCUAAUGCAAAGGACUGAUCAACAUUAAGAUGCAUCAAGGGGGCUGCACGCCGUUCACCAUGACGUCUUGGGUCUCAGAGACAGAUUACCCGCUGCUACUGAUCGCGCUACUUCAUUCUCACAGCUCUCCUCUUCCGCACCGUCUUCUCCUCCCCUUCCAUGGUCAGCCAUGCUACCCUCCCGUAGACACAAGAUUUGGCACAUAGGUUGAUCCAUUGCAUGCCCAUCCUUCCCCAACAAAACAAGAAUCCUAGACCACGAUUGUGCCAUGGCUGGGCUAAAAAUCUCCUCUUCAACCAACGCUUCCUCCAUGCAUUGCCCCCUGCCGCCCCAUCAGAGUUCUCCUGUGCUGGGCGGUCUCCUCCAUCACCAUCCGAGUUACUUGCUGGGGCUGCUAUUGCCGCCGCUGGAUUGGUAUUUUCUGAAGCCCCAAGGAGCACCAAAACGCCAUCCUGCGUUCGGUUUCCUUCCUCAUCCGCAGCAGACCCAACACAAGGCUGUUCACGUUGCUUAUCUCGUCGACCAUGUUUACCCUUACUCAGAAACCUAACCACCUCAGUAUACCCAGCUUUCUUGCACUCCCCUGCCAAAUUGUCCAACCUCCAGCAAUUGUUGCAAUAGUUGGGUAGGUUUUCAAUCACAAUUUUCUGCCAAAACCCUACCUCUUCUUCAACAGCCACCCACACCCUUGAACAAAUAUGUUUGAGCAAGUCCACCUCCACGCAAACUCUAGCCACACCAGGUCUUGUUCCUGUUAUUGUUGCCGAGUCCAGAUAGAGAGGCUUUCCCACUGGAGAAAGAAUUUAAAACAGUGAAUGCUUAUCAUGGUAAUGGAUAGGGAGAGCCGAUAAUGAGGUCCAAACAGGAACCAGAGGCGACUCUUUCUGCACAUGAAAGUCCCUUGUCCUCCAAAAGACUCGCAUGGGACACUUCCCCAGUUGCCAAAGCCCUCGCGUCCAGAUGCGGUUGAAAUCAGCUUCGGCUGCGCACUUAAGGAGAACAUGGCGGUAGUCCAUGAGGCCAACCGAAACCUGAUCUCUUAAGUCCAGGGAUGAAAAGAAUUUCCUAAUCUCUUCUAAGCUUGGCCACCCAUGGGAAAACUUGCCCACCAGUGCCUAGCGGAAUGGCGCCGCAAGCUUGUCAACCUCCUCCUUUGAAAAUACCACAGCCGCCUCCCCUUUGUAGGUGGUUGACUGCUUCACCUGGAUUGGGGAGUCGGCAGGCUGGGAGAAUAAUGGGCGAAGGAUUUAGCCGCAUAAGGGGGACCUGUCAUGCACAUCAGCCAAAGGCUGAUGGGCCACCAUGGCCGUGGGAAUGCCGCCGGCCGUCCAAGAAUAGGAUGCAAACCAAAGCUAUUUUUAGAAACCCUACCAAUGCAACUCACGGAAAUUUUUUUUUUUCAGAUUAUGAGUGUUUAUUUACAUACAUACAAUUGAUCAUACGUGCACAUAAGGCUACAUUUCUUACAAUAUUGACUUGCUCAGAAUUUAUUUCCUAUAGCUUUUAAGUUAUAAAUCGUUUUCACUGCAUGCCAUUCAAAAAUUUUAAAAAUAUUACACCAUUUUAAAAAAUUUUGAAUUUUAGAAAGAAAGAGAUUAGAUAAAAACCCCAAAUCCGUGUAUUAGUUUAGGAUAUUUAAAACUAUGCACCAUUACAUCAUUUCUUGUGUCAAUGAAUUUAGUAUUGUGCAACCAAACUAUUGAAUUGAAAGUUGAAAAGAAGUCCAACUGAAAGGGGAUUGACACAAAAAAAACUUUCCCAAAGUAGUUAGACAUUCCACGAAACUAUCUAUUAUUUGGUGUUGUCAAAAUUGUAUUAUCUUUUCUUUUCUUGAAUCAGGGAAAUAAUAUCAAAAGGAAAAUUUUUUUAUUUAAAUAAAGGCAACCUUUAAGCAUGAAAGCAAACUUAUGCGUAUUAGUUUCCAAUAUUUCCUCCUGCCUAGACAACCGAGGGUCGAGUUAUGUAUUAAAAUGGUCUUGUAGGAGAUGUUAGGUCAAAUUCCAUGUAAUUGAAGGGUCUCACACAUGAUGAUAUGGAAGUGCCAAGUCAUCAUAGGGUCCACUUGAGCAAAUAUGUCAUCUACCCGUUUUUAAAAGAGACAAUUAUGUAAUUGUGCAAAAAUAAAUUAUCCCUUAGACUAAUAAUUUCAGCCAAAAAAAUCUGAAAUUUUCUUUAUGUUAAAUCUUUAUACAACCUCAGAUUUGGCUUAAAAAAGAGUUCUUACUGUUGUUGGUGGUUACUAGAAUUUUUAAUCAUAGUUAGAACAAAAGAAUAGCACAUGAAAGAUUAAAUAAAUUUUAUAGUGAAAACAAAACAUAUUGUUGAUUUGGAAUAUGAUUUGACAUAGAAGCUAAUUUUGGACUCCAGUCAUGCCAUAGUAGCAAUGGUGUUAAAGGUGACAGGACAGAUAGUGGUGGGGAUAGUGUUGGUAGUAAUACACUGAAUUUGAAUGCUUCAAGCAAAACUAAUGGUUUAUAGACCUAAAAAUAAGAUCAAACUAUGGUGGGGAAAUGAACUAGGUCUUAUGUGGGGAGGAAAAAAUUCUUAAGCGACACAUGGCAACACUGAAAUCAAUAUUGUCAGUGGAGUAAAAGUGAGGGAUCGGGAUAGAAAACUAGAAACAACCAUGACGGGAGAUAAAAGGAUUUGCGCAGUAGCUUAUGUCAUAGAAGAUGUCAGGAAAAGGGUUGGCUUAGAUCCUAUAACUUUAUGAUGGAUAUUUAUUCUUAGUUUCAUGACUAAGGGGGUGUAUUUGAAGCAAUAUUUGUGGGCAAAACAUAAUGGUCCAACAUACUCUAGUAAUUGUGGCCCAAUUGUCAGAUCUAGCGAAAAUUGACUCCACAACAAGGCAAGUUAUUGGACUUUUUGUAUAUAAUUUCAUGGACAGACAAGAACUAGAUAUCAUGGCCAUAUGUUAUGGAUAAGCACAAGGAACAAAUUUGGGUUUAAUAAGUUUAAAAAGUAGAUAGGAACCGAAAGGCAAACAAUGAUACUUUAGACUAUUAGUGAACUGACAGGAAAAUAGAGUCAUAAGGGCAAAGUAUACUCAGAUACAAGCCUUAGUAGUGUAUGAAACAAUAAAGAGGACCUGCUUGCAAGGAGAUAAAGUAGCUGGCCUAGGGAGGUUGAAGAUAUGAGAAGAAAGGUUAAGCUUAAAGGAGUAAGCAGGAAAAAAAAUUGAUGUUAGUAGGUGCCAAUGUAUGAUAUGUCAAGAUGAGCAGGUUGGUGCAAAUGGAGUCAGAAGAUUCAUCCAUUGGUUCUGCUAUUCAUAGGACAGUGAAUAUGCAGAAAAAAGGGAAGCUUGUGGAAUGCGAAGUGUGUCUCAAGUGAGAAGAAAAGGAGCACAAAGAAAAGUUUCAUGCAGCGUAUUAGGAAGGUAAAUGUUCUAAAAUUUAGAUUUAUAAACACAUGUGAGUAUUAGCACACAUGCAUACCAAAAGUGUGUUAGGUUAGGUUAGUUUUCAUUCAUUGCAGCUAGCAUCUCCAAACGAUUAUAUCAGGAGAAAGGACGGCAAAAGCUAUGAUCCUUCCUAUGCAGAAUGUAAUAGCUAGCAUUGAGUUUAGGAGUGAUGGAAUGUAUGUAUGUUCAGUCACCUCUCCAUCUUUGUCAUCUGUCGCAUCCUACACAAAAUAUAUUAUGAUAUGGGAGCUUAAGAUGCCUGUGAGGUUCAAGUUUCAAGUUUUGAUCAAAUAAAGGUUCCCAUUGGUCCAAUCUCAAUAGCUCAAGCUAAAAAGCUUAAAGACUCAUUUCAAGCAUUCAUUCGAGUUGUUCAAUAGCAAGAAGGUGCUUAUAAGUAUAUUGAAGGGGUCGAGUUGGAGAAUCAACAUCAACGAACCAAAACUUUGAUUCACAUUGAAGCUAUUGAUGAAGGAUUUGCCACAAACCCUAGGUCGUGAAAUCAAGGAGUAGAUCGAGUUGUUUGCUAUUUUGAGUCAUUUUUCACUUAGUUUUCAUGAGAUUAGUUUGUAUGGAAAAAAUUUGGGCCAGCUUGCAUGUAAGUUAGAUCUCUUUUAGUUGCUUAGUUCUUUGAGCCAUUUGGGCCUUUUGGUUAGGAGAAUAAAAUCAGCCAGCUUUAGAUUAAGUUAAGCCUUAAUUAGUUCAUUAGUUAGUUAGUUAAGUUGUUCAGUCUAGGCCCGUUUGGUUUUGUAACUUGGCUAUAAAUAGCCGAAUCUUUGAAGCAUUAUGUAACGACAUUGAGAAUUUUCUAGUAAACUGUUUCUUGAGAGAAACAAUUCUUUUGACUUGUGAAAGUUACUUUUGAACAUCUUAGAGUGGUUCAUAAAGUACUCAUUGAUUUAUCAAUCAAGUUGUCACCUUGAUUGUGGCAUCGUUUAUCAAUAUAUAUGUUCUUGUGCGGUCCAAGUUCACUUUGAUUUCCACUACUCAAAUGUUAAUACUCCAUUCUGGAUCCUGUGGCUUGUGUGUUAUGGGUUACAUCUGAAAUAGGGAGUAGAUCGUAUCAGCUGGCAUCAGAGCUAGUUGAAGGUAUCAAAGUUAUAUCCCUUUUCGUUUCAUUGUUUGUGUCUUGUGUCAUUGCUCAACAAUUAUCAAAUUAUUCAUAAUUGAUAGCCAAACAACUAUAAAGCAUAAGUAUAAGUUUUCAAACUAACAAAUCAUAAAAAAGCACAAUCAUUCCCUGACUAUUUCAAAUGAAAAUUAUAACAAGUUCAUCUCCACUCUAGGAUAUGAAAAAGUUUAGCUAGACAUCAUAUUAAGAACAUUUAAGUAUGAAACAAACUUGUAACAAAGCGUGACAAAUAAGAACAAGAGACAAAGUUGGGAAGAAAAAUUCUUAUUCAAUGUCUUGAAACUUGAAUCCUUGAAUUCCUUCACAAGUUGAUCUCUCAAAUAACCUUGAUACAAGAGUGUUUUCACCCUUCUUUCAAAGCUCUUAAACUAAUUUUGAAACUUACAAUAUGAAAGUAAAGCUAAAAAUAUUUUUAUUUUUACUUCUACUCUACUCUACUUCACACAAUAAGGUGCUAUAUCUUGCUAACAUGAUGCUCAAAUGAAUGAGACUGAAAGGGUAUUUAUAGAUGUUUUGGAAGAGAAGAUAUUCUCAUAAUGUAGUCACAAAGUUGUUUUUCUCUUCUCCAACUCAAAUUUAGCUAGUUCCAACCAUUUUUCUUACAGAGGAAUUGGUCAAAAAGUUUAUGUGAGCAGAGUGCAAGUUACAAAACAAGUUGCAGCUUUGUUUCAGAGAUCUGUGAGGUGUAUGCCUCUUGGAUCUUCUUUGUUUUCAGUUCUGCACAUUCAGCUCAAAACUCAACUUUGCUUUGUUUUUGGUCCAAUUUCAACUAUAAUUUUCUUGAUGAUGGAGGCCGAAUUAUCUCAUGCACCAAACAUAAAAGUUAUAGCUCUUUGAGUUAACUUUGCAAUGCAUCAAGAUUCAUCUAAUUUGGAUCUCUGUAGGCUGAGUAAUGACCAAAAUACUCUUGACUGAUAAAUGCUUUAUUUCAGCUUUUGACAUAAAUUUUGUCAAUUGUAUUUUUACUUUUUGAUCAGGAAACUCAAUAGACUGGAUUUCAAUGUCUUCAUAUGAAUUGUAGAGCUAUGUAUUAGCUUUAACAUGGGUCAAGAAUCAUUUCAAUCUGAUACUUGUAACUCAAGAUAUAGCCAAAAUGCCAAAGUGUGUUAAAACUGUAAAACUCAUUUUGACUUGAAUAUUUUCCUAUGAUACCAAAACCUACAAAACAACGCAAUUUUGCAUAUUAGCCCACACUUUUGCAUGUUUUGAUGAAGAAAUACUAUUUGUAUGAAAAGUAACUUAUAAAAGAACUCAAUUCUUUCAUUUUAAUUUAAAACACACCAAAAAUUAACCUAAAACCUAACUAAGAAUGGAUAAAAUAAAGGUUAAUCAAAGAUGGAGUUUUAUGUGAUGUAGUACCAAUGCAAACUAGUCAUGUUUUCUUGGGUUGUCCAUGGCAGUUUGAUAAAUAUGAUGGACAUGCUAAGUAGUAUACUUUUAUGCAUUGUAAUAGGAAAAUCACUUUUGUACCACUUGCUCCUAGACAAGUGUAUGGGGAUCAAUUGAGACUUCAGAGGGAAAGUGAGAGAAAAAAUCGAAAGAAAAGUGAGACACAAAAGCAAGAAAGAGUGACCAAAUUAGUUGAGGGGAAAAAGGCAAUUGGAGAGUCGGCCAAGAGAGGAAAAAAGGAAAGGAAACAAAGCUUAAUUGCAAAAGCGAAAGAUAUCAAGCGAGUUUUGAUUUCUAAUCGGCCCCUAUUUGUGCUCUUUUACGAAAACGUGUUGAUUAUUUCUAAUGAACUUGAUAAUUCUUUGCCUUCUAGUGUUUCAUCUCUUUUGCAAGAAUUUCAAGAUGUAUUUCCUGAGGAGAUCCCUAAUAGACUGCCACUUAUGAGAAGCAUCAAGCAUCAAAUUGAUUUAGUUCCGGACGCACCAUUACCAAACAAAUCAGCCUAUAGCAUGGGUCUAGAGGAGAUCGAGGAGUUGCAAAGAUAAGUAGAUAAGCUGUUGAGAAAGGGAUGGGCUCGUGAGAGUUUAAGUUCAUGUGCUGUUCCAGUCAUUUUAGUGCCAAAGAAGGAUGGAGCAUAGAGAAUGUGCACCAAUUGUAGGAUUGUAAAUACGAUAACGGUAAAGUAUGUUAGAUAAAUUGCAUGAUUCAGUCAUUUUUACUAAAAUUAACCAUAAAAGUGGCAUUCACCAAAUUAGGAUGAGAGAGGGAGAUGAGAGAAAAAUAGUUUUUAAGACAAAACAUGAUUUAUAUAAAUGUUUAGUUAUGCCAUUUAGACUUACUAAUACACCUAGUACUUUCAUGAGACUAAUGAACCAUAUUUUGCAACCUUUUUUGGAAAAAUUUAUACUCGUUUAUUUUGCUGAUAUCUUGAUCCAUAGCAAGAGUUUUGCUCAAUAACUUGAAUAUUUAAGGACUAUUUUUUAGGUGCUUCAAAGGCUCUUUGUUAAUCUCAAGAAGUACAUUUUUUGCACUAACUAUCCUGUAUUUCUAGAAUAUGUUUUUAGUGAUCAAGGCAUUUAUGUAGAUGAAGAAAAGGUCAAAGGCAUACAAGAAUGACAUACUCCAAAGUCGGUUAGUGAUGUACGAAGCUUCCAUGAACCUACUAGCUUCUAUCAAUGCUUUGUCAAAGAUUUAGUGCAAUCGUUGUACAUACUCAAGUCUCGUAUUUGUAUACUGAGGAGCAAAGUGCUCGGGUCUCGGCUGGAACUUCAGCAUAUCUUCGCCCAUCAUGUGCUGGAUGCCUCAAGGGGGGUAACAAACUAAACGCUGGUGCCAUAUGCAAGCGAACACUUCGUAAAUACCAAAUCGAGAACAAUUUCAAUCUGAGACCACAUUAAAUCUAAACAAUCUGAUUGACAUCAAAGAGAUUUCAUUCUACUUGGGGGAAAUAUCCAUGUGAAAGGAUGCAUACGCUCUAUAGGAGUAUUGUGCAUCAGACUACACACGAACAGAUGCAAUGCCGAAUUCACCGUACAUCAAUUAAGUGCACAUUUACACUUGUUCAAAUGCAGAUCUUACCCAAACUGCAGCAAAGUUGACACUUAUUUAAGAACCUUAAUUGAGUACUCUAAUCAUAUUGAGUUAAAAAAUCCAAAACCUGAUAACACUACCUGUACUUGCUAAAGAAUUUUGUCUUCUGUAUUUGUUUUGGAUGGCAUAGUAGGAAAUUAUUACAAAACAAUUGCUUGUGGAUAACAACCACUGACCUCCAUUUUCAAAGAUCCCCAAACUUGCUUGC